GAGAGUUUUGGCUUGAUAGAGCUGAGAUUUACAGGUGUGGGGCAAAAUAAAUAUGUGAAAAUUAAUUUUCUUAUUGGCGAGCUUCUUGGCUUACUCUAGGAAGGGAGAUAUGUGGCCUUGAGCUAACCAUGGAAGCAUAAGAAUACUGACCAUGCUUGGAUUUUGAGAAGACUUCCUCGUUUUAUUUAUUUAUUUAUUUUUCAUGACUCUUGUUCUUGAGGCGGUGGUUGGCUUAUGGCCUCAUAUAUAAUUUGGUGUUUUUGGAGAUCAUAUAGUGAGGGAACUCUGAUGGAGAUGAGUCAUAGUUUGUGCAAGUGCAUAUGUAAUUCCAAUUUCCAGAUUCAAACGGGAUAAAUUCUUCCAACAAAGGGCUCGUUUGGGAGUACUUCUUUCUGAAACGCUUCUACAAAGAAGCAGUUUGUCAUUUGGAUGUCACAUUUGAAAGUGCUUUUACACAACAUAAUAGCGCUUUUGAUAUUUUGUUGAGUGUUUGGUUGACACAAUAAAAGCACUUUUAAAAGUACUUUACAAAAAUUUAAAGAAUCCCAAAAUAUUAUAAUAAACAUAGGAAAUAAAAAUUCACAGGAUCCCAAAAUAAAAACACAACUUAAAAAAGUAUGAACUUCACCAAGUAUAAUUUUUAAUCAUUUUUUGAAAAUAAAAAAGGAAUUAACUAGACAUAAUAAGAUUUUCAAUUCUCUCACGUUUGUCAGCCAUCUCAUGCCCAUGGGUUAGAUUUUGUUCUUCAACCAUCUCUUCCCCUAUAGUAACUCCUGCCCCGCCAGAGGGAAGUAGCUCAUCAUCAUCAUCAUACGGUUGGAAUUCUUGAUCUGUCAUUGAAUGACAUCUUGUAAAGUUGUAAAGAGUCAUUGAAGCAACAAUUAUUAUGCAUACAUAUAGGACAGCUCAUAGGAAAGCAUCUAAAACAAUUUUUUUAAAAUUUUUUUAUUUGAAUACAACCGAUAUUGGGAGUGUGGGGAUUUGAACACAUGAUCUAGGAUACAAGGGUAAUGCUCUUAAUUGUCAAAACAAUUUUUUUCUACUUUUACUGAACACCUAACUUUUUACCACCAAAAAAAAAAAACUAUAUAUAUAUUCCCAUUUGUUUUUUUUUUUUCACUUUGAUUUUUCUCAAGUUUUUAAAAAAUAAUAAUUUUUCUUUCUCAGUCAAAAUCUGAAGUCUUUGUGGUCCUUUGUUUUUCUAUUUUGGUAAAAAGCUUAGGGCCUGUUUGGGAGUGCUUCUGAAACUGCUAAAGGUGCUUUAUGACAACUAAAAGCGCUUUUGACAACGUUUGGCAAAAAAGUUGCGCUUUUGGGUCAUAGAAGCGUUUUCUGGAGAAGCACCUGCUAUGUACUUCUUCAGAAAGCACUCCCAAGUGCUUUUCCAAGAAGUACUUGGAUUUUUUAUGAAAAUUCAAAAUUUUUAUUAUAAAAGUGCUUUCGUUAGAAGUAUUUAUGAAUAGAAGUACUUCCUAGAGAAACAGUCCCAAACGAACCCUAAGGUUUCAGUAAAAGUUUAAAUUAAAAAACAAAAAAAAGGACAAUUUUGACAAUUCAAAAAAGAGGACACAUAUCACUCUUAGAUUGAGCCAUAAUAGAAGUAAGGAGGGAGUUCCUUCUAAUGGGUAAGGAGGGAAGUAUUGUAAAAAAGGAAACAUGUUACAAAAACACAAAGAAAACCUAACAGCAUUACUUAAAAAAAGUAGAGAAGUCAAGCCCAACAUUUUGAGUUUUAUACACCUACGUGACGUGAGCAUUCAAUAAUCAUCCUACACAUAUGCUGAUGUGAGCAUUCAAAAUCAUUAGAAUGAUUUAAUUGAAGACUCAACGUACGGACGUCUUUUUCACUUAGAUUCCCUUCCCGUACAAACUUGCAUCAGUUCCUCCACGACCCCAUCAAUCUCUUCAUCCUCUUUCUUGUUCAUGUUGUCUCUUAUUUUCAAUGCCUUUUUUCUCACUCCCUCUCCAAUUUUCUCCACAAAAACAUCUCUAAUCACCUUUGCGACCUCUUCUCUUUGCAAACUUCCUUCACCUGUUCUCUUAACCUCAACACCAACACCCACCUCCUCCACUAGUCUAGCGUUGAUCGGCUGGUCAAGAUGCAUAGGCAUGGCUAUAAUUGGAACACCAAACUUGAUGCUCUCCAACACUGAGUUCCAUCCGCAGUGACUCACAAACCCCCCAACACUAGAAUGCUGCAGUAUCUUUGCCUGUGGGGCCCAACCCUCCAUUAUCACUCCCUUCUCUCCCACCCUCUGUAAAAACCCUUCUGGUAACACCUCUUCAACCCUAGUAUUUUUCUCCUCCUUAGAAAAUCUUAUAACCCAAAUGAAGCUCACUUUGCUAAGCUCUAAUCCGUGAGCUAUCUCUUCUAUUUGCUCCUUGGACAGAAAGUACUCACUGCCAAAGCAUACAUACACUACAGAAGACCUUUCCAUUUUGUUCAGCCAUUUCAUGAUCCAUGUUUCCUCAUCAACUUUUUGAUCCACUGGCUCUUGAACAAGCGUGCCAACAGGCACGAUCUUUUUCCCCAUUAAAUCAGAGAGAUAAUCAAUAUAUUUUUCUUCAAUCCCCCUGGAUGUCUUUACCAAAAUGAUGUUACAAGAUCGAGCACUGCAUUGCUGAACACGGUCUCCAUCUUUGAUGCCAUUUGCUGAAGAUUCCAACACGUUGUUGAACUUUUCAGCUUCGUAAUCUUGAAGAUAAAUCGAAGGAAAAGGAAACUUGACACUAGGGUUCUUGAGAUGUUGAAUACUAAAUGAAGUAAAGGCAGCACCCAUGGUGAUGAAUUCGAUGGAUGGAAAAUUUUGCAAUGAAGCUAGAGAGGGCGCCCAUGGUUGAAGAAAAUCAUAUAUGAGCAAAUCUGGGCUUAGGGUUUUGAGGAUGUUGGAGAAGUUGUUGCUGGACAUAUCAAAGGCCCUUUUGAGAGUGGACAUGAGAUGGGGAGGGAGGCCAUUGGUGGUAUGGUAGUGAGGUGGGAGUUCAGGCAAGUCAUCAUGUGGAAGAUGGAGUUCCACAAAUUCAAUGCAAUGAGAAUAUUUUUGGGAGAGUUUAGGCUUGAUGGAGCUGAGAUUUACAGGCGUGGAACAAAUAAAGAUGUGAAAAUUUCUCUUGGUGGUCAGCUUCUUGGCUAGCUCUAGGUAGGGAGAUAUAUGGCCGUGAGCUAGCCAUGGAAGCAUAAGAAUAGUAAGUUUUCUUUGGUCAGAGUAAACCAUAUUUUGUUUUCCUUUCACUCUUUUGCUUGAGGUUGCUCGAUUAUAGGCUUAUUGGUAGUUUUUUUGUAGCUAGCUCUAUGCAUAUAUAUAUAUAUAUACACACACAUUCAUGGGAAAAGAGGCUUGGGGAUGGGAAAUCAAUUGAUUUCCUAUGUUUGGUAAAGUUCGGGUAUGAGAAAUCGUUGCUUUGCACAUGAGAAAGUAGAGGGGAAAGUGAAGCCCUCCUCCUUCCUUAGGUUUUGUUUUCCUCCUCAUGGGAAAGUUUGGGAAAAUGAGCUAAUAUUAAAUACAUAUUUUUCAUGACCAUAUUAUCCCCAUUAAUAAUUUAGAAUUACAUAAAUGCAUUCUAUUUUUAUUUGAUUUCAUAUGGGUAUAAUUGAAAAAUUAAACAAAUUUUGUUUUACAUUCCUACACAAACCAAACAUGUGAAAGGAAAUAAAGUGGUAUUUCUUGGUUACUUUCCCAAGAUUACCAAACAUAGGAAAGGAAUCUCUAUUUCCCAUCCCUUAGAAAAUGACUUGGAAAGUAAUUUCUCCUCAAAUUCGUUCCGUGAACCAAACGGAACCUGCAUAAUAGAAGUUCCAAAAAAACACGUGAUGAUUGGAUCAUGCAUAUGUAAGUUCCCGAGUGAUGAUUGGAACAAGUUCCUAAUGAUAAAGACUCGAAACAAGAAUAGUUUAAACUUUCUUCUUUGUUUGGCUUGAUAUAAGACGAAUGCACCAAACAAACCGACUAAUUGCUGGCACAAUAUAAAUUGGGGCUACAAUUACCUAAUAAUUAGGUACUAAGGGCUACAAUUACCUAAUAAUAUCAACUUUCAUUAUACAGAUUUGAGAAACAAAAAGUUCAACUUUGAUGACAAGCGAUAUUAAAGGAGGGCGUAAUCAAACUUAGGAUCUUGAGUGUAGAAAUAAAUACUUUUAACAACUUGAGCUACAAGCCUUUUGUAAUAUUAAUGAUAUUUUAAUUAUACGUUUGAAUAGUUCGCUUCCUUCUCUUUUAUUUUCAUUUGUUUAUAUUUAACUCUAAUUUUAUUUAUAUUUUUGGUCAAGGUAAAAAGACUUUGAAUCUCUCUCCAAUGAUUUUCACAGCCGAAACUCCUUUAGUUUCCACAAAUAUUUUUUAAUAUUUCAUGCAUUUGUAAGUUUCCGACUCGGAUGGUUCAUGUAACCAAGAAGUUUAAACUUGUUUUUGCUUGUUCCGCCGACGAAAGCGCAACAAAAGGACAAACUACAACCAAUACUUCUAGUAUCACCAGUUCUCAUUGAAUUUGUUGCCGUGAAUGUUUAGGAUUCUGCCCAAACUAGUAUUUGCGUUUCUGAAUUGUUUGAAAACACAUAUGAAAUUAUGAUUUCUCCUCCCCAGAAGACAAAUUGACGAAGAAGUAUCAUGAUUUUGAUGACACAAAUUAGAAUCCAGGGUUUUCGAAGUGCCUAAUGGACAACUAUUAAUUUAGAAAUAUAUAUAUUUUUUUCGCAAUGCAGAAACACAUAAAUCCCAAGUUUGAAUUCAUCCUAUUUUUGUUUUUGUUUUUUCCUUUUUUAACCCAGAAGAAAAAUUGAGUGCCACUCUGCUAUGUAGAAUGCAAGUUUUAGUUUAGAUUUUUUUUUCUUUUUAGUCUCUUAUUCUACAUUUAGAUCUCAUAUAUUUACUCGCAUUUUAUUAAAUCUAAGUCAUUCAAACAAUCUGACCACUUAACAAAUUACAAGUACUCAAACUUAAAAUCAGAUUGGAUGGACAUGAGGCUUACACUGAUGAUUCUACACGUGCUGAGAAUAGUCCUUUUAUUUCUUUAUUAUUUUCUUGGUCGGGACUCGAGAGACAGGUGUAGUGUAGCGAUGGAGACGAGGCCCGCAAGACAUAAAAGUCUGAAGAAGAGAAGCGUGAAAGCUUCAUUUAGACAGUUAAGUGCAUACGUAACGUAAAGAUUCAAAGACUAUGUCCCUCUCCAAACAGGGAAAGAUCUGAGUUGAAAGCAACAAACUACAGUCACAAUAGGAAAGCAUCUACAACGUAAAGAAAAUAAGUUUACCAGAAGCAUCGGAAAGAUCUAGAGUCUGAAGAAGAGAUACUGAAGUAAUUGUUCAUCGACUGAGCUUAAAUGAAAUAUUAACUCUUUGUUGUGCCAUAAGCACAAGAUCUUAAGAAAAAAAUUCAAGAUAAACCAUAUAAUAUUUUCUAACCCACAAAAUAAUAUAGAAAAUAAAUGCAAGAACAAGAGAAUAGCAAGACACAACGAGGCUGCUUACAAUCAGUGUAAAUGAGCAAACAAAUUCACCAUCAACAAAUUAGCAUGCUUAUGAAGUGUUUUGCAACCUCACAAACCAAGGCGCCAUAUACACCAAAUGACUCUCACUGAAAAACUAAACAAAGAAACACACUCACACUAAUGAAAGCAACGUUACAAGGUAGGAGAUUGAAUAUUACAUUUACAAUACACUCAUAAGUUACAAAAACUAAUUACAAAUAUUUAGCGCAUAGGUUACAUAGAACUGAAAGGGUGGAAUGAUAAGAGCUAUGGUGGUCAUCCACCAACUCAUGCAUUUACAACACCGCCUCUUGAAUGUCCACCAUACAAUACAAUGAUAUAGUUGCGUCAUUAAACACUUUGCUUGAAAAACUAUAUGGGACAAAACUUAGGCUACGGGAAAAAGAGUGCAACACAAAUAAUAUUGAUAUCACAUUUGUCUCUCCUACGGAAUGAGCUUUGGUGAUGUUUGUAUAAAAAUUGCGUACAAACCAUUAUUGGAAGAUUGGGCUAGAGUGGGCUUUACCCUAGUGUUGACUUUGGAAAGAGACAAAUUAGGCUUAGUUGUGUAAAUUCAAUCCAAAAAAAAAUUAAAUAAUAGCCCACAUCUACAGCCAAAUACUUUAAUACUUUAAUUACUAAAGUUUUUUUUUCUUUCUCUCUCUUCUUUGGUUUAUUCAGCUUUUGAUUUGGCUCAAAUAAUGUUUAUAUCUCUCUUUGAUUUUGUUUUUUCAAAUUUAUUGAUGUUGCUUCUUUUGAAAAUUUUGAAAUAUGGACCCUCCCUAACUAAACCACUCCAUUGAGCAAAAGCCCUUGAGCUUCAAAUUUAUCUUCGUCUGAGCCUCUGAAUUUUGGUUUUUUUUAGGUUUUUUUUGUUUGUUGUAGGUUUCUUUGUUCACAUAUCUCUCUAAAAAUAGUAUUUUUCUUAAUGAAUUCUGAAAAUAGUUUUUAAUUUGAAGGAAAUAUACGGAAUUAGUAAAAAAGUAUACCACUUUCAUUAAUCUGAAGGAAAUAUUGCUUUAUAUAUAUUUGUUUAAAAAUAGGGCUUAUAAUUGAUCUCAAAAAAAAAAAAAAAACAAAUAGCCCACCCCUGUAAAUAUUCCUUAGUCCGCCAUUGCAUGGCAUAAUAUUUGGUAUGCUAUGCUAGCAUCUCAUAAGCUCUUCAAGAGACCUGAAUUUUAUGAUAACUUCUUAAAAAAUUUGAAUACAUUUCAACGAUAUUAAACUUGAAUUUGAACUCAUAAUUCAAUCAAAGUACUCAUUGAGGCAAUUUAGAUCAUUUUCAUUUUAAAAAAAUUGGGUGCACACAUUGAGCUUCAUGCUCUUUACCUUCUUAGAGAUUUUAUUUGAGGAAUUUAUAUUGCAUCACAUAUUACAUCUCUUAGGAUUUGUUCUUAUUAUGUAUUCUUUAAGAGAUCUAUUCUUGCAAUAUGCUUCAAACACUUCAUAAUCUUUAUGAAUUUUUCAUGUAGAUUUAAGGUCUCCAUGAAUAUUGAGAUUGAAACAAGGAGUAAAAGAGUUAAAAGUUUAAGAAAUUUUUUCCCUGAUUAUUUUGUAAUUAUAAUGUUGGUGAAAAUCCAAUUUCCUUUCUAGAAUUUGUGAAAUUUGUUAUUUGGCUAAGCUAAAAGUAUAAUUUUGACAAUAAAAAGCAUAUGAAAGUUUCUCUUUGGUUGGCUUCUUGGCUAGCUCUAGGAACGGACAGUGUGGCCAUGAGAUAACCAUGGAAGUAUAAUAAGAAUGCUUGGAUGCUGUGAACAAUCCAUUUUCUGACUCUUUUUCUUGAGGUGGUUGUUUUCUUAUGGCCCAUCAGAGUUUAUGGUCGACAGAUAAGCUUCAAACACAUGCAUUGGUCGUGUCAGUUGCGAUAAACUCUUCCCAACAAUCAACAAUUUCUAAGGUAAUAUCAUCAUUCAAUCAUGUGCUGAAUUUAGAAUUGUUUUCAAAUCAAGGAUUUGUUUUGGAACUCAGAUUUUAAAACAAUUAAAAUUUAAUUGGGAAGACUUUUUGUUUAAAGGAAGUUCGUUUCAAUUCAAAAAAUAAUUUUUCAGUUUUUCAACUCAAAAGUCUUCUCAGUUUUCUUAUUUUUCUUAUUGGCGAGUUUCUUGGUUAACUCUAGGAAGGGAGAUAUGUGGCCAUGAGCUAACCAUGGAAGCAUAAGAACGCUGACCAUGCUUGGAUUUUGAGAAGACUUCCUCUUUUUUUUUUCCCUGACUCUUCUUCUUGAGGCGGUGGUUGGCUUAUGGCCUCAUAAUAGUUUGGUGUUUUUGGAGAUCAUAUGGUGAUGAUCUGAUGGAGAUGAGUCAUAGUUUGUGCUAGUGCAUACGUAAUUCCAAUUUCCUGAUUCAGAUGGGAUAAACUCUUCCAACAAAUUAAGACUCUUAUCAUGCAUACACAUAAGAAGUGGAAAUUUGCUUCUGUCUUAGUUUGGCCUUGAUAUAGGACAGCUCAUAGGAAAGCAUCCAAAACAAUAUUCUUUUUAUUUUUUUUAUUUGAAUACAAGCGAUAUUAGGAGUGUGGGGAUUUGAACACAUGAUUUAGGGUACAGGGUAAUGCUCUUAACUAUAUGAGUUACAAGUCCCUUGCAAACAGUCUGAAAUACUAAAAAUAAAAAAUAGAUGCUCAUCCAUAUGCACUGUCAUGCCCCAACCCUUGGAUUUACAAAACCUUGUGUUAAGACGUGAUUCACACCUUAAUUAUAGAAUUUAAUAAAAACUAUAACUAAAAUGUGAAGAAAACAUUUAAAUAAAUAAAAUAAAUAUUUCACAUAGAAUAUUCAGUGGAAAUGACAACAUGUGAAAUCUUAAAAAUUUUACAUUAUCUUACAAGUUGGCGUGACUUGUGGAUAUUGACUUACUUUCCUUACACACCAAGAAUUCCUAUUAUAAUUGUAAUUGAUUUACUUUAAUUCAUGAUUUCCUACUGUAAAUAGAUUUAAGAAUUUAUUAUUUACUUGCCCAUUCAGGUUUCGUUGUAUUAUAAAUAUGACCUCCUACAAGGAGAAGAACAUACAGAAAAUUCCCACAAACAAAUAUUCUCUCAUAGUUUUCAUAUUUUAGCAUGGUAUCAGAGCGGCAAUCUUGGAAUUGCUGACUCUAGUUUCAAACCCCCGCCGCCGCUAUGGGGGUUGAUGAUUUUUUCAACCAUCAUGGAGGUAGCACCAUCGACUCCUUCUCUCAUUCUCAACUAACCAUCGUUGAGUUGAGUGCCCAGAUGGCUCCGCUCCUACAGAUGCAGACUUUGACCCCAAACCCGAUCCAGAAUCAGGAUCUUCUUUCGACAACCACGACCCCGAUCUCGACUAUGACAACGACGACCCCGACCCCUACUCUGAAGAUGACCCCGACCCCCACUCCGAUGACCCCAACCCCGAAUUUGUCUCUGAUUCAGAACCCGAUCCCGAUUUCGACUCCGACUCCGGCCUCGACUCAGGCUCAGAUUUCGAUCCAAAUUCCUACUCAACUUAUAUCCUAUGCAUCUUCCGCUGCACAGAUUAUGACUUCUAGACUAACGACCCCGACAUAUGGACCAGAUUGCACAUAUUGUGGUGAUCCGAGACACACUUGUGAGACUUGUUUUAAAUCGCAUGGCUACCCCGAUUGGUGGGCUAUUCUUACAGAUCAAGGACAAUGCACCAGUAAUGGUACUGGUUAUGGAUUCCAUACUUCCGAUAAGAUUGAUUCCAGGAGCUGGAUAAUUGAUUCUGGUGCAACUGAUCAUAUGACGUUUGAUCCUGAUGAUUUUCUGAAUACUACACAACCUCGACGAACUUGUAUUGCAAAUGCCAAUGGUGUUACUUAUCCUGUGACAGGGGCUGGCACUGUUGCACUCUCAUCCUCUCUCACACUGUCUAAUACUUUACUUGUUCCAUUUUUAUCCACUAAAUUGUUGUUAGUUAGUCAGCUUACUAAACAAUUGAAGUGUUGUGUACUCAUUUACCUGAGUUUUUGUUUGCUUCAGGAUAUUCACACUAAGGAGAUUCUUGGUCGUGGUACUAAGAGAGGGGGGCUAUAUUAUGUCGAUGACUUCAGUUCCGGCGUGCCUAACAGUGUGACACAUCCCUUUGAUAGCAAACAAAAGCAAAUUUGGUUGUGGCACCUUCGAUUGGGACAUCCGUCUUUCAGUUAUAUGAAGCAUCUUAUACCAGAUUUAUUCUUAGGUUUCAAGGACUCCGACUUCACAUGUGAUACUUGUAUUUUGGCUAACAGUCACCGUGUGCCCUACCUGUUGAGUACGAACAAGUGUACUUGUAAGAUCCCACAUCAACCAACGGAGAGGGGGUGAUGUGCCUUAUAUAUGCACACCUGCAUCCAUCUAGCACGAGGCCUUUUGGGAGCUCACUGGCUUCGGAGUCGUAGGAACUCCGAAGUUAAGCGAGUUGGGGGCUAGAGCAAUCCCAGGAUGGGUGAUCCACUGGGAAGUUGCUCGUGAGCUCCUAGAAACAAAACCGUGAGGGCAGAGAGAGGGGCCCAAAGCGGACAAUAUCGUGCUACGGCGGAGUUGAUCCCGAGAUGUGACAAUUUGGUAUCAGAGCCACUCUGCCGUGUGGUGCGAAUGUGCCGACGAGGACUUCGGGCCCUUAAGGGGGGUGGAUUGUAAGAUCCCACAUCAACCAACGGAGAGGGGGUGAUGUGCCUUAUAUAUGCACACCUGCAUCCAUCUAGCAUGAGACCUUUUGGGAGCUCACUGGCUUCGGAGUUGUAGGAACUCCGACGUUAAGCGAGUUGGGGGCUAGAGCAAUCCCAGGAUGGGUGACCCACUGGGAAGUUGCUCGUGAGUUCCCAGAAACAAAACCGUGAGGGCCAGAGAGGGGGGCCCAAAGCUGAUAAUAUCGUGCUACGGCGGAGCCGAUCCCGGGAUGUGACAAUUGUACUACUCCAUUUACGUUAAUUCACUCUGAUGUCUUGGGACCUUCGCCUAUCACUGCUCCUUCUGGUGUUCGAUGGUUUGUCACAUUCAUCGAUGAUUGUAUACAGAUGACAUGGCUUUAUUUGCUGAAGAAUAAAAACGAAGUGUUUUCCCGUUUUCAGUCCUUCCACAAACAGAUGAAAACUCAGUUUAAUGCUCAAAUCCAGAUUCUUCGCUCAGACAAUGGUGGAGAAUUUGUCAAUCAUGACUUUCAGACUUACUUCCAACAACAUGGAAUUAUCCAUGAGACGACUUGUCCUCAGACACCACAACAAAAUUGUGUUGUUGAACGAAAGAAUUGACAUCUUCUUGAAACCGCCCAAGCACUUCUGAUUGGCGCUCAUGUUCCUCGCUAUCACUGGGAUGAUGCUAUUGUCACCGCAGUUCACCUGAUCAACCGCAUGCCUUCUGGUGUAUUGACCUUUAAAACUCCCUUACAGGUGCUUGCGCAACACAGACCUCUGCUCUCUGUUUUGGUACUCACACCCCGAAUCUUUGGAUGUGUGGCUUUCGUUCAUCUCCACAAAAAUCAACGUAGCAAACUUGAUCCCUGUGCGCUUCGUUGUGUUUUUAUAGGUUAUGCCACUCAUCAGAAAGGCUACCGUUGUUAUCACCCUCCUACCCAACGAACCUAUGUCACUUUGGAUGUGACCUUUCUGGAAUCUGAGUUGUUCUUCCAUGACCCAUCAUCCAAUUCUACGCAUCAGGGGGGGAUACGAAGUGAAGAGCAGAAUUGAAGCAACUUGGGAAAUAAAGAAAUUUUCCUCUGUACAGAAAUGAUUAAUCAUCCUGAGUCUGGAGCACGAGAUUACUCUCUGUCGAAAAGCAACCAAUCGCCCAUUCAUAGCGAUCAAUUGCCUCACCUACCUGAUCCAUGUGAAGAUAUUUUUGAUCCGAGUCUCACACCUACAGACAAUACAGAACAACAAGAUGAAGACUCCCCCUCUAACUCAACAGUACCAACAGACCAAUCUCCUGAGAAUAUCCUUGAGGUAACUACUCCUACUAGAUUUGUGCAUUUAAAUGAUUAAACUAUUGGAUAUCAAUUACCUUUCAGGGAAAAUCGUGGGAAGCCAUCAAACCGUUAUGCACCUGAUAUUGGCAAGACAUCCAAGUAUCCAAUUGCAAAUCAUGUAUCCACUGAGAAGCUGUCUGAACAACUCAAGGCUUUUGUGCAUCAGUUGUCUGCGAUCCAUAUUCCAACCAAGGUCUCUGAAGCAUUAAAAUAUCCUAAGUGGGUCCAAGCUAUAAAAGAGGAGAUGAAAGCUCUUGAGAAAAAUCAGACUUGGACAUUAGAGACUAUACCUCGAGGAAAAAAGACUAUCAGAUGUAGAUGGGUGUUUACUAUAAAACACAAUGUAGAUGGAUCUAUCGAGCAAUACAAGGCAAGACUUGUGGAAAAAGGGUACACACAGACAUAUGGUAUAGACUAUGAAGAAACCUUUGCUCCAGUUGCAAAGUCAAACACCAUCAGAGUCUUAUUGUCCCUUGCAGCUAAUUUGGAUUGGCCACUACACCAGUUUGAUGUAAAGAAUGCUUUUCUACAUGGCGUACUCACGGAGGAGGUGUACAUUUACAUUCCUCCUGGAUAUAAUACUACUUAGACUGGAACAGUUUGCAGGUUACGAAAAGCAUUGUAUGGAUUGAAACAGUCACCACGUGCAUGGUUUGGACAGUUCACCAUGGCAAUGAAGAACAAUGGUUCAAACAGUGCAACUCAGAUCAUACUCUACUCUUGAAACAUCGAAAAGGGAAGGUAACAACAUUAAUAAUCUAUGUUGAUGAUAUGAUUAUUACUGGGAAUGAUAAACAGGAAAUAUCACAGCUACAAGACUAUCUGGCUACGGAGUUUGAGAUGAUGGAUCUAGGUGGACUCAAGUAUUUCUUGGGAAUUGAGGUGGCUCGAUCCCAGCAAGGCAUAUUUCUCUCUCAAAGGAAAUAUGUCUUGGACUUGUUGACAGACACAUGAAUGCUAGAUUGUAAACCUGCGAACACUCAUAUUGUUCAGAAUCAUCAUCUUGGAGAAUAUCAUGAUCAAGUUCCAACUAACAAAGAAAGAUACCAAAGGUUAGUAGGAAGAUUGAUCUAUUUGUCACAUACUUGACCAAACAUUACUUAUGCAAUGAGCGUUGUCAGUCAAUUUAUGCACUCUCCAAGUGAAGACCACACGAAUGCAGUUCUUCGGAUACUUAGAUAUUUGAAGUCUGCACCUGAAAAAGGACUUAUUUUCUGAAAGCAUGGUCAUAUAAAUAUUGAUGGUUAUUCAGAUGUAAUGUAACAGAUAGAAAAUCCACAUCCGGUUACUUAACAUUCAUGGGAGGUAAUUUGGUGACAUGGAGGAGCAAGAAACAGAAUGUAGUAGCUUUAUCCAGUGCAGAAGCCGAGUUCAGAGGCAUGACUAAAGGAAUUUGUGAACUUCUUUGGUUAAGAAAGUUGCUUACUGAACUUGGGUAUAAACCUACAUCCACAAUGAUUCUCUUUUGUGACAACAAGGCUGUUAUAGCCAUUGCACAGAAUCCGGUUCAGCAUGAUCGUACUAAACAUGUUGAGGAGGAUCGACACUUCAUCAAACAGAAGCUUGAGGCUAAAAUGUUUCAGUUUUCUUUUGUGAAAUCCGAGGAUCAAUUGGCGGAUAUUUUGACAAAGGUGAUUUCCAGUAAAACAUUCCACAAUUCACUGGAUCAGUUAGGCAUUGGCGAUAUCUAUGCACCAACGUGAGGGGAAGUGUUGGCGUGACUUGUGGAUAUUGACUUACUUUCCUUACACACCAAGAAUUCCUAUUAUAAUUGUAAUUGAUUUACUUUAAUUCCUGAUUUCCUAUUGUAAAUAGAUUUAGGAAUUUAUUAUUUACUUGCCCAUUCAGGUUUCGUUGUAUUAUAAAUAUGACCUCCUACAAGGAGAAUAACAUACAGAAAAUUCCCACAAACAAAUAUUCUCUUAUAGUUUUCAUAUUUUAGCAAGAACUACUCGAGAGUUUACUAAAAGAGUAGUUCAGUAUUCAUCCACAAGCUAUAUACACAAUACACUCUAUAGAUAUGCCAAAAUCAUCGCAAGCUCUAGAUUUUAGGUUCGAUACCUGCAAAAUCUAUUAGAAGGGUGAGUGAAACCACAGUUUAGUAGGGACAUAAACCUUUUCACGGUAAACUGAUAUAAUUAAAUUAAGUGAAAAAUAAUCACACAGCCAAAUAUCACAUUAUUAAUAACAAUGCAUGAAUGCUCUUCAUUUAACCCGUUAAUUCAUAUAAUUAGACAAGCUUCACGACCCAUACCAUGCUUAUACCACUUAGUCCCGAAUGCCAAUUUAUAUGAAUUAACGCCCAUUUCAAUCAUCCCAUAAUUCCCAUUUUGUUAGUCAUCUUGUCUAACUCCCUGUUGCCAGUCCUGAAUCACCAAAAAAAAAAAACCAUGUGCACUAUGGGAUCCCUGAGUACUAGUACCUGGCAAGAGUUAGACUCAACUACACAAAAGAUCAUUUCUAUUACCCUCUUAUCCACCAUUAUUUUCUCAACUUCAGAAUUCUAGCCAAAUUCCAUGACAUGAUAUAAUUAAAAUUAUGCCUUCACAACAAUGUGCCCAUUUAAAACAUCACUAAUGCACAUAUAAUUAUGCCCACAUUGUUCAAAUAGUUAAGAGUACGUAAAUACCCAAUACAUGGAACGUCAAUCAAACAGUACCACGCAUAAUAUAAUGCUCAAGAAAUUUAAUUAAAUCAAUCUCUGUAAAAGGCCCCUAAGAAACCCCUGCCUUGAUACUAAAGCUUUUGCUAGACCUAUAAGGUGUUUUCCAAUUUUCCACCGCAUUCACAAACUCUGUCUUCUACUUUUUUUCUUACUUCUCUCUACCACUAUUUCUUUCUCGUUUUCUUUGUUUUCACUUGUUGUGCAACUUAAUGUCCUAUAUAUAUACAAGGAACAAGUCGGCAGUAAGUGAUUUCCUAUUGGAUGGUGUAUUCGGUUGUUAUAAACUUACUAGUAAUAGUUAUCAAUGUAGUUGCAGAUGAGGAAGAAUGUUUUUGUGACUCUUCCAAUCCCUCUAAUCCUAUUUCUUAUCUUCUUGGUGAGUUGAUAGCCUCGAUACUUAACAGAUUUUAUACUUUGACACGUAUUAACAAGAACUAUUUUAAAAACAUAUACAUAUAUAUAUAUAUAAUAGAAUAUGUAUAUAUGUAAUACACAUAUUUAUAUAUAAUAAGAAUAAUAUAUAUGUAAUAAGAUAUAAAUAUUUAUUAGAACAGUAUAUAAAAUAAUAUAUAUCAUUCUUAUUAUAACAAUAAUUUUAAUUUUCCCAAAAUAAUAUAUAUUUAAAAAUAUGUGGUUUCACAUGCAUGUCCUUUUUGCUAUAGACACUAUUACAAAAAUCGAAAUAGACAACGGAAAACUACCGUCGUCUGGAAAGUUUUCAAACAGUCGUGAAAUCGACUGUCGUCUCUUUUACAUAAAACAACGACGGCUAUUAACCAACGUCGUUAAUACAUUCCACGUAAAAAACUAUUAUAAACCGACGUGUAAUUACUAUAUAUAUAGCCUAAAAUAAAAUCUUCAACAACCUUAGACGACGGUUUUAUUAAAACUGACACGUCUAAAGAGUGUUACAUGUCAAGAUCAAAACAAGAACCGACGUACAGAUAAUUAUCCACGUCCUAAUUGAAGUAAAAUAGACUUGGAUAACCUAGAAACCGUCGUGGUUAACAUAUACUACGUUAAAUUAACAAAGGCACUUACGUCUAAAAAGUAAAAGACAACACGCGCACAAAGCAACAGACGUUUAAAGCUUAGUACAUGUCAAUAGCCGCUCAAUAACCGCAGUAAAAUGAAUUAACCACGUCCCACAUAUGGCAGAACUGUUGCUUAUGUGAUUAUCCACGUCGCGGAGUAGUAGAACAAAGACGUUGUAACCAUAUUCCACGUCUGUUUCUUGUGAGAAUUGUCGUUUAAAUUAUACAAAGAAGCCCCUUUGACAGAGUUAGACGUUGCUCUUGCUGUAGAACCGACUUCUAACAGGUUUAAAAUGACACAAUAUUACUUAAUACUGCCGUAACAAAUCAUAUCCACGACUGCUGUUGUCAAAGACUGACGUUACAAAAAAUAUUGAAGGUGUUGACAAAAAAGAACCGACAUGGAUUAUGCAUUCAACGUCGUGUGGUCUAAAAAUAAAGGACGUGGUUAAUUUUUUCUCUACGUCAAGUGGAUCCAAUUGCCUGAUGUUGUAAUUCUUUACCAUGUUGGUUUUUAAUACAUGAUGAUGUGGUUGUCCUUUUAAAAGUCGCUUGUUUUACCCUCCUUGACGUGUGUAUGAUAUGAGACGUCAAUUGUUUUAGACUAGCUGACGUGCAGAAAAUCUGUCACGACAAUUAAUGCAACUGAAUUGCCUCUAUUUCCCCCAGACGACGGUAGGUUUUAAGUGUGGAAGUAGUGUUUUACAAAAUCGUAAGUUGGAGUAAUCUACCAUCGUGUUAUUCGAGAAUAUACCACGAUCUUUGUUUUGUACUCGGUCGCUGAUGUUUAUACUACUUAAUAAACUGACAUGUUUUCAGUUUCAGACGGCGGCUUUUGUUUCUUUAUGGUCUUUUGCAUUUUUUUUCCAUGACAUUUUUGAAAGCCUAAUGUUGGUUUUAUUUUAGAAAUCGAUUUUUCCCCUUUUUUUACUGGACCGUCGUACUUUACACAUUUAAUCAAUUUUUUUCAAUUUUUGAUUCAUCGUGCCCAAAGCCUACAUAACGAAAAUGUGAUCAGAAUUAAAAUGAUGUACAAAGGUAUUAAUUAAUGUCAUACAAUUAACUGAAUAACUAAUGUCAUACACUACAACAAUCAAUCAAUCCAUAUAUCUUCACACCCAUCUUUAAUAUUUUCACUCCCAAACUCACCCACUAGGUCAUCAUAUGUGUCAACAUUUGGUAUCCCUCUAGUAAAUGUCUCACACUCAAUUCUAAUAUCACCUAGCACAUCAUCACCAAUAACAUUAUUAUAUUCUCUAUUAUGCAUUGAUAACACUACCGACCAACCACGAUGCAUUGGGUCGUCAGCAUAAAAUACUUGUUUUGGUCAUUCCUAUGUCCAAUUUUACUCAAAUCUACAAAGGUGAAUCCAAGUUCAUCGACAACAAGGCCCAAAGUGUUAUCUAUCCAAUCACACCUCAAGACAAGGAUUCUAAACUUUUGGUAGUCAAGGUCCCAAAUUUCUUGAAUAACACCAUAAAAACCCAUAUUGGAGACAAUAGAGUUUUUAUCCUUAGCACUAGCAACUUGCAUAGUAUGUGCAAGUAAAUAAACUCCACUAUUUUGGACAGUUCGCAUAUCAUCUUGUGCCUUGGUGUUAAAUUUAACACCAUUAAUAAGAUAGCUCCUAUAUGAUGGCAUUGCCAUGCUUGGACUAGCUGCUAGCCACCUCAAAUUUUAUGAUACGCCAUUAUGCUCUUCCCCAUUAAGUUCACUUUGAACUUGCAAAUUAAUCGUAUAUAUCCUAAUUCGAUCUAACAUAUAAAAAGGAAGAAAAUUAAAAGUUGAAUAUGUCAUUCAAUAACAUAUAUACUUGAAAGUGUAGCCAUUGAAUGAAAGUGCUAUUGUGCUUAUCUUGCAGCCACUUUGUUCUCUUUCUAAAUAUUGGAUAAGUGGUCUUGAUGUGGAUCAUAUGUUCCAUACAUUGACACGAAAAAAUCAAGCAUUACGGUCCCUUGUAUAUAAGAUAACAUAAGGAAUAAUAAUAUUUAAAAUGGCUCUAUAUGAAAAAUGGAACUCAUGCGUACUCGAUAUAAGGUAGGACUUCCUCAGUAUUCUCCAAGACAUAUAGAUGUGUCUGGUUCAAAAAACCCGAUCACCUAAGCUUACUGUGCAACCAGAUAAUGGCUUUGAAACUCCCAUCUUCUAGCUUGAAGGCACUCCAACUGUACUAACAUCAGAUAAAUGCUCGGUGCAAAACUCUACAACUUCUUCAGCUAUAUACCGCUCAAUAAUGCAACAUCCGGGACGAGUACGGUUCUGAACAAACCUAUUUAGCACUUUCAUAUGUCUUUCAAAUGGAUACAUCCAUCUAAAAUAUACUGGCCCAUGUAGACGAACUUCUCUGACAAGAUGUACUACUAGAUGAACCAUGAUAUCAAAGAAUGAAGGGGGAAAGUACUUCUCAAGCAAACGCAACGUAACUACUACAUCUUCUUCCAAAUUAUCUAGCUUGGAAACAUCUACUGUCUUUGCACAUAUAGCAUUGAAGAAGAAGCACAAUCGAGUUAUUGCAUACCUUGCAGGCUUCUCCAAACAGAACGAAUUGCCACAGGGAGCAAUUGUUGCAUCAAGGCAUGAAAAUUAUGAGAUUUAAGGCCAAGAAGUCUUGAAUAUUUUUAAGAUACAAGAUUUUUUUAUAUUUGAACAAUAACCUUCAGGGACUUUCAUACCAUAGAAAGAAUUGCAAACCGCUCUCUUAUCUGCUCUUGACAAAUUCUAGGGCCUUGGAGGCAAGCGAGUACGUCUUUCUCAAUACUCGGGUUGCAAAUCAUUUUUGACCCCCAUGUUCAAUAAAUCUAACCGAACAGCAAUCUCAUCUUUAUUUUUUCUAGGGAUCUCCAGCAAUGUACCAAUGAUACUAUCGCAAACAUUCUUCUCAAUAUGCAUAACAUCUUGGACAUGCCUCAUAGGAAGGUAUUUCAAAUACUCGAGAUCAAAGAAUUUUGAUUUCUUAUUCCAACAAACUCUGUCACCAUCAUUCUCAAAAACACUUCCCCCAUUUUUCGAGCCCCAUAUGUAAUUAAUAUCUUCAACCAUGUCCUAUUCAAGUUAAUGGUUCGGGAGGCGUGCCAUAUUCAAGUUUUCCAUUGAAAGCUGCACGCUACCUCCGACAUGGAUGAUUGAUUGGUAACCAUUUUUUAUGACCAAUGUAACAAAUUUUGGGGCCAUUUUCAACCUGUGACUAGGUGUAUCAUCGCCGCAUAUUGGACAAGCUUUAUAUCCUUUAACGACACUGUAACACCCCGACUCUAAAUUAAUCCCUUAUUUAAUUAUUUAAAGAAAAUUACAAAUUUACCCUUAAGAUAGGGGUAUUUUGGUCAUUUUCUUACCCGAAGAGAGUUUGGGGCAGUGACUAGUAUUUUUGGAUAGGUCGUACUGAGACGAGUUCAUAGACACGUAGUGGGCUCGAAUCGAAGUUGUAACGAGAGAGAUAUGGUCAAAAGAAACCCAAUUGCACAAUCAUAAUUAUUUCGAAAUGAGAUUUUUAUAAAAAUCAGAUUUUUUUUUCUCUCUCUCUCUCUCUCCUCGUCGGUCUCUCUCCCUCUCCUCGAAACUCCGGCCAUCGGCCACGGCUGUGGACGGGGCCGGUACCAAAAUGACCGAGGCGUUGUCCUCCUCUAAUCCCAGCUAGGUCCCGCCGUCAGCCGCCAUGGUUUCGCCGGAAAAUGGAGAAGAAGCGGCCGGCGUCGUCCGAAGUUCUCCGCCGUUGAUCUCCCUCUUCCGGUCACCGAUUCCGACGAGUGAGGUAUGGUUUCUCACCUACUUUUCAUGCUCUAGCUGCCUGCUGGGUAUGAUUGGAUUGAUUUUUAGCGUAGGCAAUUCGAUUUUCGCAUUGAAAUUCGGCUAAUUUUGGAAUCACGAUUCCGGCUAGUUCUGGUCAGUUUUUGGGGUAGAUCCAAGAACAAAAGUGGCUCCAAAUAGGGUGUUAUACCUAGGGUAGGAGUUUGGAGCCAUGGUUUUGAGAUUUUCCGGCGAUACGUAAUCGCUUUAGACACCCAACGCUGCCCGCACGUGUGGCAGUGCGUGGGCGAGGGUAGUGAAAUAGCACUAUGUCUCGAUGAGAUCCUUAGGUUGUCACGAGUGCGUAGGAUUUCGCGGAUCUCAAUUCGGACGUCGUUUGACUAUCGAACGGAUUUUCGUAUAUUGCGCGUCAUCCGGGUUCGAUAGGUUGGGACCGUUGGAUGGUCUCGAAUAAAAUAUAUGUUAAUCUAGGUAUUUCUAGGAUCAUGUAGGAAUUCACGGAUUAUAAAUCGGAGCCCCGGAUAUUCCGAAUAAAUAAUUUAAAGUUUAUGUUUUAUAAUAACCGUCACAUCGUGCGAUCGUGAGCGAUCCGACCGGCCGAUCUGGACCAAACUUACAGAACGAGUGUCCUAUACCUUGAAGAACCCAUAGGAAUUUUCAGAUCGAAAUUUGGAGGUCGUGGGCCCCGUGGGCCCAUUUGACUAGGGGUAGGGUAGUUUGACCCUUAGUUGACCGUGAGUCUCCCGGAGUAAUCUCACCUUUCCAGGGGGAUUAUCGGGUGCUAGACUGUUGUUGAGGUUUACACGAUAUUAGUAGUAAAUUAUAUAUUUAUAUACAUUUGUAAAGGUAAAAAAUAAGUCCAGAAUGUCAGUUUGAAGUGCUUUACGCACUACCUUAGGUACCUCCCCGGAUUUUAGUUACACUACAAGUACCACCCUAUGAAAGUUAGGUCCCACGUGGCGUAGGUUAUCCGGCGUGCGGACAGGCCCUAUACGUGGCAUUGGUAGUAUCGGUGUAUGGGGAGAUUACGUGAUAAUAUGUUGAGGUCACACGUGGCGUAGGUUAUCCGGCGUGUUGACAGACCCCAUACGUGGCGUUGGUUGUACCGGCGUAUGAGGAGAUAUUGUGAUAUGAUAUUCAGGUCUCGCGUGGCGUAGGUUAUCCAGCGUUGAGACAGACCCCAUACGUGGCGUUGGUUCUACCGGCGUAUAAGGAGUUUAUGUGAUAUUAUGUUGAAGUCGCGCGUGGCGUAGGUUAUCCGGUGUGUCGACAGACCCCAUACGUGGUGUUGGUUGUACCGGCGUAUGGGGAGAUAUGUGAUAUGAUGUGCAGGUCUCGCGUGGCGUAGGUUAUCCGGCGUUGAGACAGACCCCAUAUGUGGCGUUAGUUGUACCGGCGUAUGGGAAGAUAUUGUGAUAUGAUAUUCAGGUCUCGGGUGGCGUAGGUUAUCCGGCGUGUUGACAGGCCCCAUACGUGGCGUUGGUAGUACCGGUAUAUGGGGAGAUUAUGUGAAAUACAGAGAAAUGAAAUAAGGUAUUGCCUAUGUGUGGAAUUGGGUUUUAAGGAAGAACUACGUGUGGCUUGAUCCCUCAGGGAGGGUACGUAGGCAGCCUAAGGUUAUUAGGUGUAGCCGCGGACAUAGACGUGAUUGUGUUAGGAGGUUAAAACCUCGUAUGUUGAAAUUGAGAAAAUUAGAUGAUGUAUGUUGAAAUUUAGUAGUCGUAAUUUAUAUUUAAAUUUAUCGUUUGCCUUGUUUAAGGCAUGAAUUGAUUUGCUAGCAUGCUUGGUAGUUGAGAAUUAUAGAAAGGCCGAAGGCCGUUUAUGUGAAUUGCAUGGAAUUAUAUUGUGCAUGCUGCCAGUUGUAGUUAUUAAAUGUGUUUUUAUGCAGGUUGAAAUUUUGGGAAAUGUCCAAUUUACAGGGGAGACUCUGCCGAAAUUUCGGCAGAAAGUCUCGGUCUUUAGUAAGUGGGCCUGACAUCGAGGUGAUGUCGGGGAAUCCACAGGAUCCGCCUCGAUUUUUGGAAAAAUCGGGGCGGUUCCUUUCAGACACAACCAGAUAAGUUCUCAUAGGCAGAAAAAUCAUUAAUUGUUCACAGUAAUACACCUAUGAGUGUAAAGUAAUCUCCUAUGUGUGCAUCAUACACUCCUUUAAUCCCAUCCCACAAAGAUUUUAAAUCAUCAAUCAGAGGCUCUAAGUAGACAUCUAUAUCAUUUCCAUUCUAUUUAGGACCAGAAAUCAAUAAGGUCAAUAUCAUGAACUUCCAUUUCAUGCAUAGCCAUGGUGGGAGAUUAUAUGUAACUAAGAUAACCAACAAUUGUAUCUGCUACUUAAAGAACUGUGGGGAUUGAAUCCAUCAGAUGAGAGAGCCAAUCUCAAGUUUCUUGGCUCUUUACUGAACUCGGGCCAUUUAUCAUCAACAAGUUUUUAAGACGGGAAAUUCGCUGGAUGAGACAUAUGACCGUCAAUUGCUUUUCUAGCAACAUGCCAAGUCAAACUCUUAGCUGUCAUAUGUGAUUGAAACAUCCUUUUAAACCUUGGAAUUGGAGGAAAAUACCACACCACCUUCGCUGGCACACUCUUUUUCAAGAUUGAAUCUUUGCAUUCCUUCCACCUUGAGAUACCACAAGUAGGACAAUUAGUUGAAUCUUCAUAAUCAUUCCUAUACAAGAUGCAGUCAUUGGGACAUGCAUGGAUAUUCUCAUAACUCAUCCCUAAAGGAGAUAAUGUCUUUUUUGCCUCGUACAUAGAGGAAUAUAGUGUCUUUCCUUCUGGAAGCAAAUCUCCUUGAAGUAUCAAUAAUUCUAUAAAACAAACAUCACUCAUCCCAUGUUUUGCUUUCAAAUUAUAUAACUUCACCAAAGCCGACAACAUCGUGUACUUACUGCAACCAGGGUACAAGGAUUGAUCUCAAUCCCCAAUCACAUUGGCAAACUCAUAAGGAUCAAAUCCAAUAUCGCCUAAAUCAUUAUCAUCCAUCCCUACUUCUUUAGAAACAAAACUGAACCUACUUUGCUCAUCUUCUUCCACAUUUCUACUAGCAUUAGUAGUCAAUUCCCAAGGUUCUCCGUGCCAUGUGCAAAUCUGAUAGCUUUAGUCAAUUCCAUUAAAGUAUAAGUGGUCCCUCAUAAUUCCAACCCCAAACAAUCGAAUAUUCCCACAUUUAACACAUGGACAACGAAUAUGAGUUGUAUUUCCAAGAUUUUCUACAGCAAAAUUCAAAAAUCCUUCCACCCCUAACUCAUAUGCCUUCGGUCUUCUAUCCGCAUGCAUCCAUGACUUAUCCAUCUCACACACUAUAAAAUCAUAUAUAUAAUAAAGUGAAAAGACCAGCAAUGAAACACUACUUUAUUCACAUAGCAAAGAAUGAAUUGAAAAAAAAAAUUAACCAAGAAUCAGACGACGGUUUUUACAAAAAAAAUCGUCCUGUAACAGAGGGUCAGACGACGGCAUAUCUAGUUAUCGACGUCUUUAAGCUACCCAAACCCAGAUAUUUGUAUUGCUUUUUGAAGAACCGGGUUCUGGGUUCUGGUAAACAAAAGAUGACGGUAAAUGGAGAAACACCGACGUAUCCUAAAACUUGAGACGACGGUUUAUUUCACCAACCGUCGUCGUAGUUUACGAAAAACAGAAGUCUAAAUCUCCCAUCCUCAUUCCUUUUCUAAGAACCCUUAACAAAAUGCAAACAUCAAAAUAUAAAAGAGCCAUAUAUAGCUCCCAAUUAAGAAACCAAAGCUACCAAAACAUAUAUUAAUAAACCAAAGCUACCAAAAUGAACGAAAACAUUUAUGGGUUUUACAAACUAAGAGAAUAUUGAGAGAGAGCUGAGAGAAUAUACUUACAUGGAUAUUGAGAGAGAGCUGAGAGAAUAUAACAAAUGCUUGAGAGAGAGCUUAGAGAAUAUACACAAUGCUUUGAGAGAGAGCGAAAAAUUUAAGACAAAUUUAUGUUGAAGAGAGAGAAGGAAAUAUUUUAGGGUUAAAGGGAAAUUCUGAAAAUUUUAGAUCACCGUCAAAAUUUUCAAAGGACCGCGUUUUUCAAAGACGGCUAAGGAAAACUACCGCCAUUGUAAAUCAUUUUACUACGACGGUUGAGGAAAACUACCGCCAUUGUAAAUCAUUUUUAUGUCGCCUCUAUAAAAACCGACGUCUAAAAUAUUAAAUAAUUAGAUUUGGUUUGCAUUUCGUGGGAUUCUAACGUGCGUAAUUGACCAAAAAGAGCGAGAGAAAACCAGCGUCGUUUCUAUAAAACCUAAACCCUAAACCCUAAACCCUAAACUCUAAAACCUAAACACUGAAAAAAUUAACCAAAAAUUGCUAUGGACUCCUUACAACAAUGCCUUCUAUAUUAGUAGGCUAAAAUCGGGAUUAAAUAAUUUUGAAUUUUAUGACCACCAAUGGAUCACAUAAACCUUAGGGUUAUGUUUAUGGAAAGUAUAAGGAUUAUUGUGUUUUGUCUCUAAAUCUUUUUUACUUUUGUUAUCACUUGUAACUUUGAAAUCUAAAAUUAAAAUUUUCAGGCCUUUAGGGGGGAGAUAUUGUCUCAAUGUGUUUAUAGAAUUUGAGACUGCGAAGGUUCUAGCUGAUUGACUAAGGAUGAGGCAGGAUGGAUGGAAGGUUUGCUUGGAGAUUCUACCUUUGUCAGCUCUUCUGGUUGACAUGUUGUUUAUUCUGCCUGAGGAACUACUUCUAGAUUUUUCCCUUUUCUAGCAGAACUAGUCUCUGGAAGUACUUGUGUGUCAUCCUUAUUCUUGAGGAAGACGCAGUAUUGCCUUUGAACUCUCCUCUUUUGCAUUCUGGUUAGCUUCAGAGUUGGUCUUCGGCUUUUUCCAAUAGAAUAUCAUCUACCUUCUAUGAUAGUUGCAAAGGGCUUGUCAUUUCCAGGCAUCUUAACUGGUAUUUCCUUCUUUGGCUGCUCUAUUAUUCUCUUGUUGCGUUGGGCAGGCCUUAAAUAGUCCUUCUGUCUGGCUCUAUCUCUAGGUGGAGCCGGAACUAGGCCUUGUUGGUAUGAUGUUCCAAUCCUGUCAAAAACACAAGGUGUGGGCUGACUUUGCCUAACCAGAGUUACCUCUAACUCACUUUCACAUUUGCACCUGUUGCACAAAACUACCCCAGCCGAAAUGGUUGCUUUUGGUCUUCAAUUAGCCUAUCUUUGGACUCUUCUGCCUAUGCUGGGGCUAACUUUUGCUGUUAGUUUGCCUUUCUUUUGUUUUGGCCAAUUUAAGUUGACCAUGUUGACUUGAGGUUGGGGAAAAGGGUCUGUUGUUAUCGAAUGAGGUUUCUCAGCCAGUUUUAGCCUCCAUGCUGUUAUUCCUUCCUGUAUGACGUCCCUGAAAACAACACAACUAUUGGUGGAAUGGUCCCAGGAGUUAUGCCAUCUGCAAUACUGUCUGCCCUUGAGUUCCUCUAGCUUGGGCAACUUGUAGGGUGUUUCUAUUGCCUUCUGUCGCAGCAUGUCAUCAAACAGGGCAUCAACCUUGGUUAAAUCGAGGGAAUAGACUUUGUUAUGAGCUGGUUUGUUUGGAACAAACCCUCUUGUGAAUGGUGGUGGCUUUUGGUCCUUUGGUGGCUUUGUUAAAGCCUUGCAACUGAUGAGAUGUUUUAAUUUCCCCAUUUCUGCCACUGCAACUUCUCUCUCCUCCGAGCUUUCUAUGCCUUCUUCUGAUUCUACCUCAACAAGAUUUACUGAAGAGGAUGGGGUUUUGUAAUAUGUGCCUUUGAAAGAGUUCCUCUUCUAUUGUUCUUCCCUGAGCAGCUCCUUGUAUUUAGAUGCUUUGUCUGCUAGUUCUGCCAGAUCUCCAAACAGCAUCCCAUCAAAUUUUUUUCUCAGAGAGAUUUUAAGGGAGAUUUGAGCCAUUUGGAUGAAGUGCCCUUCCUCCAUAGGGAUUCAAAAUUUCAUUUUGAGCUUUUUGAACCUGGUUAUGAAGUCUUGGGCAGGCUCAUCUUCCCUCUAUUUCCAGGUUUGAGGGCAGCAAGAUCACUGAUGGUGACUUCUGGCUGAAUCCUAAAAUAGUAGUCAUGGAAGACAUUUUCCAUCUAUUUCCAGGUUUGAACAGAAUUGGCUGGUAAGCUAGUAUAUUAGAUGAAGGCUUGUCCAGAGAGAGAAUUUCGAAAAAGCCUUAGUUUUAACAGAAGGUUAUUUUCUAUGGCUAUGCACUGGAAAGAGAAUCUGCCUAUAUGCUUAACUGAUGAAGCAUGGGUGUCUUCUCCGUUGAACAAGGUGAAGUGUGGUACCUUAAAGCCCAGGGAUAGAGGUAUUUGAUCGAUAUAAGCUGGAUAAGGCUUUCUGUAGGUGGGCCUUUCUCCUCUUCUGGCCUCAGGUUCCAUCAUCUCUCUGAUCAUUCUAUAAAGUGCCCCCAUGUCAUUCAAAGCAUUGACAUGAUGCGGGGUUCGCCCCUGUUCUGGCUAGUUGUGUUCAAUCCUUUGUUCUACUUUAUAUGGCCUGGGCAGAACUUCCUCCCUAUGCUCUUCCUCUUUUUCGAAAUCUGGAUGAUUCCUUUAGUUUGCCCCCGGUCUGUUUUUGUCAUUGUUGGCAAAGGGUUUAACUCCUACUCUACCUCUCAUGCCACUUGCUAGUGGAGGGAAUGGAUUGGGGUCCAUCCUUCUAGGUCUGUAGGGCAACACAACUGGUUGCUCAGGCAGAAGUGCCAAGGCCUGAUCACGUGGGGCCACUAGUUGUGGAAUAGGUGGAGGUUCUGGCUAGUUCUGAGGGGGUCUGAACUGGUGCAGAGCCUUCUGGAUGAACUGAAUCCUCAUGUUCUUGGAUGGGAAGGGCUCCUCCCCUCUGUCCAGCUUGGAUUUCUCCAUGUCCUGGUAUUCCAGCUAUCUGUGUGAUGAGAGGCUUCUCUUCAUAUGGCCAUGCCAGUCCUGGUAGAGGUCCAAAAGGGAGAUCUAGCUGCUGGACCACCAUGUCUAGGUUUGGAAUUUUGGCAAUAGUAGCCUCACGGUCCUUCCUGAACUGCCUGUUGACUUGCCAUUACAUCAUGGUUGUCAUGUUGUUUAGAGUAUCUUGGCUCAUUUGUGCUGUGGCUUCUUGCCGAAACACAGCCUCCUGUAUCUAGUUUAACCUUCUGGAACCAGACAUGGAACGUCUACUCGUGGUACUGCCAUGGGCUGAUUACCUAGCAUCACUUUCUUUUGACUCAAGUCCUUUUCGGAGAGCUGCUUGAUCUCUUUUCAUGGCAUAGCGUGGAUUCUGGCUAGAACUUCCAAUAUUCAUAUACUAGAGGAUUUUUCUAGAAAUAUAUGUAUUGAGAAGUCCCACUGGGCGUGCCAAAUUGUUCAUCCGUUUUAGAUUUGUUCCUGUGAUGGUAGGGUAAAGUUCCUCAUUGACUUGAAAACCAUUGGUGGUCAAUAAGUCAACUUUCUUUUGUGUACAAAUGUGCCACUGCUAGCAAUAAAAACCCUAGCAGACUUCUUAAAAAUAGAAAACUUGUGCCCAAGUUAUUAACUUCUAAAUAAGCGAUUGUGAAUUUGGGCGAGGAAUAUCUCCCAAGUAAGUUCUUUUCUUUGCCUCAGAUUGGUGAGGACUUCACAAUUUUUCACAGUACAAAACUGGUAGUUCUAGCUAGAAUAAAUGAUAAGAAAGUGAACUGUUUUCAGGCAGAACUACCUUUUACAAAGCUUAAAAAGGAAGACCAACUCUAAAAAGACAAAAAGAGCUUUUGGACUUCAAUUUCUGCUUGGAUAAAUGCUUCUGAUCCGGGCUGGACUGGGUAUGUUUGUGCUGGACUGGACUAUCAACACCUUCAACUGUCAAGUUUUAGCUGUCAAUGAAUACCAAUGUUCGAGUGUGGCAAAGCUUCAAUCUAUUUCAAGCCGUGCAAGGCUUUUUGAACGGACAGAAUUGGAACCUCUUCAGUCUGGAAGGGGUAGAAGUGGCUGAAUUUGGUGAUUACUGAGCUGGAACUGCACUGUAGUACCUGUUCUGCUUGAUCAGGGCUCUCCAUAAAUUUGUUGAGGUUUUAAUAUUGGUAAAACCCGAAGCUUAUGUUGAACCAACUUUGUAACGAGAGAAAUCUUGCUUUGAAUGACUAUUUCUCUGAAACUAAACAGAAGUUAGAGAUUCUGGAAUAUAGCUGACUUGUUUCUUAUGGCUCAAUGAGCUUUUGGUUGCUUCAGUGUUUUGAAGGCUUUUGAGAUCAAGUGAUCAUUUUGAGUUUUUAUUUUUGAUUGAUUUUUUGGCUGUCCUUUUAUCUGUUCACCUCAUCUCAUAUUUAUAGAAUAUACUGGAGUGUGAUUUCUAAUCUUUUAAUAAUGGGCGGCAAAUCUUUUAAAAGAUCUUUUUUUCUUUUUUCAAUGUCAUAAGAGAAGGAAGCUACUAUUCUGACAGAGAAAGGUUGUCAACAAUCAUCUUUCAAUUUUUCUAUGUUCACUUUUUGUUCUUUGUAAAGAGAAAGAACACAAUCUACCAUGAUGGUCAGUGUGCUUUUCCUGUUGAACAACUCCCUCGUUCUCUACUUAUCUCUUGAAAACGUAGUCUGCUUAUCUCUUGGAAAGACCACCUGAUUUGGUGCAGAGCUUCUCUAUAUAUAUAUAUAUAUAAAGGGAUUUUGAUCUUCUUCUUUUGGCUGAAAAAAUAGAGAAGUCUUUCUGUAAGACCUGCCUUCAUUAAUUUUCUAUCAACUUCUCUGUAAUAGUUGAAAAUUUUGACUUUUCAAAGCCAGGUAUUCACGUGGGGUUGUUUAGAAAAGAUCUGUUGAUUUUGUCAAUCUUUUAGGGUAGAGAUUAAAUAGCGUAAAAAGGCUGGGCUAGUCUCUUUUUCUUAGUAGAUAAAAAGCCCAAAUAUUUUGUCUCACUGCCCUUUUCUGGAAAAUAAAUGGGCUGGGUGUGUUGGAAAUUGGCCCAAUCUUAAGAAAGACUCUGGUGGCUGCCCAAAAUUGACAUAGGCUUUUCUUGAUUUUGGGCUGGGCAUGCCAAAUUAGGCCCAAACAAUGCCCCUUAAGUCUGAAUUGUUUUUGGAAUAGUUUCAGACUUAAUGAUUUGGCCAUUAAUUUGUGCGCGCCAUUUCCUUCUGUUAGCCCACAUCUGCCACGUCUGCCUAUUAUGAUCAAGACUUCGUGGGAAAGUGGGCAGUUACUAGCUAGUUAUUAUCAGGUGGCGUCUUGUCUUCUUCUUCCCACGAUUUCGAGUCUUUCUAAGAAAUUUAAAAAGACCUCAGCUCCUGUUUACUCAAAACCUAACUUCUUCAGACCUUGAUUUUCCUCAGUUUUCUCAGAAUUUUUACCCUUUUCUGCGAUCAAACCCUGCUUCCUUUCAGUUUGAUUCCCCUAUCCUAGCUCAAAACCCGAAAAUGUCUUCUCCAAAAAAUCGUGCCCAGACUUCUUCUUAUUCUGUUCCUCCUACCUACAUUACUGGGGCCGGUGUUGAUAAGCAUGUGAUUGAAGUCCGGAGCAAGCUUCAUCCUUUUGCCCAGAACGUUCUGGACAAGAACGUGUUACAUUUGUUCGAGAACACUCUUGUUUUGGAGCCUCAUCGGUUUGGUUCUGUCCCGACUGAAAUGGCAGAAUUGUUUAAAGAAUAUACUGAAGCUCCUCUAUGCUUUCAGAGCUCUUUCGUAGAUUUCAGUUUUAUAUAUAAACUAUCGUGUUUCUCCCUAUAACAUGUCGUUUUUAAGAAUUGUUGUCAAUGUUUUAUUUCCUGCUACUAUAAGACGGCGAUUAUUUAUACAUAUGAGACGUGUAAAUUAGAAUGAGACGUCAGUCUUUGGGAUUUAAAUUAAGUUUUUACGAUUUAAUGUCAUUUUAGUUCAUAUAAGGACAUAAAUGUCCUAACCAAAAAUAUAUUUAUGUACAUUGUCAAUAAAUUAAAAUAAACCUAAACAUUGUUAAAAUAAAUUAGAUCACUUAUUAUUCUGUAAUUACUUGUUAACGAAUUCAGCCCAUUCCAACCUGACUUCGUCAAUAUGUUCUUAUACAUACUGAACUGGUUCCUUUUUCUUAUCAAACUGCAAAUAAAUAACAAAAACCAACGUGUUAUAAAGAUUACAACGACUGCUUUUAAAGAAAAAGUUGUGGUACUAAAAUAAAGAAUUUAUAUCUUAAGUUUUGCCUUUUACCUUCUUCUCAAAUGCUAGGCCUGGAUCAUGAAUUAUAUCUCUCAUGAAAUGCAUCACGUAAUAGCCACACUCUACAUUUGUUGGUUGUCGAGGAGUGCCAUGUAGAUUUUUCCAUAUGACUGAUUUACAUGAUGAUUAAUUGCCUGUGUGAGAGUUAUACAUUUUGAUUGAACUGUUUCAAGAAAAUGAAAAGUGUUAAUGAUAAAAAUAAAAAUCUAAAGCAAAAAUAUUAAACGUCGUGGUAAAUAAGUGAAGACGAUGGUUUUGUUAAAAAAGUGAUGUUGUAUUUCAUUUCAAACGUUGGUAAAUAAAAACCGUCGUUGUGUAGAAUUCUAACGUCGGUGACGAUGAAAAAUGACGUAUAACCAAAAAUUGUUUGUAAAUGAAAGUUGAACAGAAAAAAAUAAAACUUCCUUAAAUGAAAAACACAAACGACGUGGUAUUUCAAUUAAAAUGACGGUUUACAGAAAAUACUGACGUUGUAAAUGAUUUCAAACAUCGGUUUGAAGUUACCAUCGUGUUUUCAUUGUAACGUCGGUAUUAGAAAAAGCCGUAUAUCAUUCAAAUGCAAAUAAAAAAAUGUUAGAUUUUCAUAGAUAAACUUACAUAUUCACUAUAUUUCUCAUGUCCUCGUCAACAACGCGGUUUGGCAAUGAAUCCAUGUAAUAGAUAGUCUCCUUCGCUGGUCUCACAAUUAUUAACACCCAAUGACCCCUACACAUAAUGAUCCAUAUAGGUUAAAUAUACUAGAAAGAAAAAUAGGCAUCAAGUAUAGUUAAGGGGACUAACCUUGGAUUACAAGGCACCAUGUAAAAUUGAUCCCCAUUUGCGUUUUUCAGGCGGUCUGAGAGAUGUUUCAAACGGUAAGAUAACGUUCCAGAUUGAGAGCUGACUUGUCCAAGGUCCACGAAGCCAAUAAGGUUUACCAUAUUUUCUAUUUUUAAAUAGUCAAAUAGGCACCUAAAUAUAUGAAAUUCAAUUAAAUGAGAUUUUAACUUUAAAGAAAGGAAAUGUAUAAUGCAAUCACUGUGGAUCCAAUCUCAACCAUGGAAGGAAAUUGUAAAAUAUCUUCACACAAGAGGAAGGUAUCAUGGUUAAUGCCAAAGGCUUCCUCUGGAAUGUGAAUUCUAAUGGUCUCGUUAAUGGGCUUCAACUUGGUCUCGACAAAUUGAAAUAAGGCUAACAGAGGAGGUGGCAUGUCUAGCUUUGAGAGAUCCUGUUACAACAAAUAAAUAAAGAAAUAUAAGUUAGUUUGUACACUAAGUAAAAUAAACGACUCUAACUAAACCAAUCAAACCGACGUGGUAUAUAAUAUAAUCGACAGUUUCUAGAACAUACUGAAGGAGUAAAGGUUAUAGACGACGGUAAAGACAUAACCAUCGUUAUGUAAAUGUUCUAACGUCGCUGCAUUAUGGAAAGGUCGUCUAAUUAAAAUGCAGUGAAGCCUUUAUUGAAAUACACGACAGUUUAUAAAAUAAACACCGACGUAGUAAAAUACUGAGACGACGGUUAUCAGCAACGUCUAUUUGAAAUUAUAAAUCAGAAAAAAUCAAAUAUCAAAGAUUUUACCGUUUCAUCUUGCCAUUGUUUAGCAACAUCAGCAUCAUUCGUGGGAUUUUCUUCCUCCAAAACAAGGGGUCUCACAUUAGAGCAGCUUGCUUUGUCAGACAUUAGAUUUUUUGGAGUAAUUGGAGUUUUAUUGAGCAAGUUGGGAUCACAGUUGGGAAUUAGUUGACUGAAUUGUUUCAAUAAAAUUUCCCUCUCUGCUCUGACUGCCUCCAAAACAGUUUCUUUUGCCUUAGCUUUAAUCUUUUUGGUUUCUUCUCUCACUGCCUCCAUAACACUUUCCUUCAAUUUGUUAGCAAAUUUUACUCUCUGCUGUCUCGACAAAUUGAAGAAUUGAGUUGGGGAAACCCCAGCUCCAACACCUCUAACUCUCCCACCAUGCUCAGGGGUUCCCAAAGCCAAGGUCAAAAUAUCGUUGCUCUCAGAGACAGCAGAGUGCCCUCGGAAACUUGUUUUUUCAAAUCAUCCUAAAAGUGAGAGAGAGAGAGAGAGAAUGUUAGUGAGUGAACAGAUAGUAAAACAGAUUAAAUAAACAACUAUACAAAAAUAUUAACCGACGUGGUAAAGACUUUAAAAAACUGAAAUCAAUCCCCAAUAGUAACAGGGACCAUGCAGCAACGAUUUGGUUGACAGUAGUAUAGGUUGGAGAUGCUGUUGAUCAUUAGAUACUAUUUUUUUAAAUAUCAAUUCUGUAACAUCCAGACCUAAAAAAUUAAUGAUUUUGAUUUAAAAUUAAAUUUAAAUAAGCAAUUACGAAUUUACCCUUGGGGAAGGGGUAUUUUGGUAUUUUUUUUUUAUUCAGAAAGAGUUUGGGGCAGUGACUAGUAUUUUUGGGUAGAUCGUACUGAGACGAAUCCGUAGACACGCGGUAGGCCUGAAUCGGAGUUGUAACGAAGAAACGGUGACCAAAAUUAGUCCAGUGGCAAACUUGUAAAUAUUUUGAACUUGGGUGUAGAAAAAUCUGAAACUGGCUUCCUCUCUCCUGCGUGCACACGUCCUUCUCUCUCUCUCCUCUCUCUCUCCUCGAUACCAUCACUCUCUGUCUCUCUCUUCGAUUCUCUCAAUUCUGGCCACGGCAAGGGCCGGGACUGGUUCCGAUCAACUCCUCACAAAGCCCCGAACCAGAACCACCACUUUUCUUGGCCGGAAAGCUCGAGUUUCGCGUGGUAAUCUCGACUGGUUUGAACCAGUUUUCCUCCGUCAUUGUGCCGCCGCCAUCGCAGCCCAAUCUCGGUUAAACAAGUGAGGUUUCUUACUCUUUUUCCGAGCUCUAGCUGCCUGUUGGGUAGGAUUGGAUUGAUUUUUUGUCUAGGAUCCCGAUUUUGAAACCUAAGUUUUGACGAAUUUCAAAGUGAAAUUCCGGCCGGUUGCCGUCCUAAUUAGACCUCCCCGUAGUUGAAUAAAGUGAUCCUCGCUUCGAGUAGUAGCUAAGGUAGGAAUGGUGAAUUGCGGUGUGGAGUUUUUCCAUCACUGAAAAUUACUCUACACAUCCACGCGUUGCCAGGGCAUGUGGAGGCGCAUGGGCAAUGUGGUGAGACCACAUUUUAUCCUGAUGUAGUCUCCUAGUCCUCACGUGCGCGUAAGUGUGCUCGAAUUUCAAUUCGAAUGUUGUUUGACUAUCGAACGGAUUUAUGCAUAUUGUUUCUUAUCCGGGUUCAAUAUGUUCGGACCAUUGGAUCGAGUCCAAAUUUACGUAUGUUAAUCUAGGCACCCCUAGGAUCAUGUGCGAAUUCGCGGAUCGUGAAUCGGAGCCCCGAAUGUUCCGAUUCAAUAAUUUGAAGUUUAUGGUUUGCGAUAACCGUCAAUUUCUGACCAAACCUACAGGACGUGUUUCCUAAACCCGUAGUCGGACCUUAGAAUACUCGUUAUGCGUGCACGCACCGGGAACUUGAGAAAAUUAGUAUUUAAUUUGUAAAUUCCGUUUUGAAGUGAUUUUUUAUUAAUUAAGGGUGCGUAUCUCGAAAUAGGUGCUCCAUCACUAGCACGCAGCAGGUAGGACCCUCUUGAGGUCAGGCAGUGUGGGACUACUUGUGAGUGGACAUUUAUUUUAUAUAUGCAUUAUUUUCAAUGAUUGAAAGAAUAUGCAUGAAAUAUAUAUAUUUUUUGGAAUAAAGAUUGAGAAAUUCAUAUGUUGUUAUAUCAGUAUUAUUUAAUUUAGAAUUUGGUUUGAUUUGAUGAUGAGUUAUAUAAAGGUCAAGUUAUUCGUGAUUAAGUCUUGGAUGAAUUUUGGGGGAAUCGGGAAUUGAAUAUUAUGGUUUAUGGUGGGAACUUAUAUGAUUACACUGUGUGGAGUACCAUCCCCUAGUUACUAGGCUUCCCACAUGUGGCGUUGGAAAUUUUCCAGCGUGUGAUGAUGUAGUCUGCACGCAUAGGACUUAGUAUUGGAGCUACACGUGGCGUUGGAAUUUCCGGCAUGUAAGCUAUGGAGUUUCGUCCCCCGGUUGGACCGCUCAUCCCUAGACGCAGGAUAGCAACUGAAAAUCUUGCGGGUUAGCCAAACAAUCCCCCGGUUGGAUUGUUUCCCCGGUACCUAAGUAGUGUGAUAAAUAUUAUGUAUAUUUAUAGAUAUAUAUAUUUCUAUGUGUGUGUGUGUGUGUGUGUGUGUGUGUGUGUGAGUAUAAAUCAGUUAAAGUAUAUGUAGUGGUUGGGUAAGAGCAGUAUAAAUUUUGGGGAUAAAGUUUAUGGAUAGAGUGAUUGAUCUCAAAGGGUUUCGGAGAAUGAUGUUUUUGAUCAUUAAAUAAAAGUUAUGAAUCUGCAUGUCUUGAGCAUUAUUUUUAGACGGUGGGGUUAUUAUGUUGUUUUGAAUGCAAAUUUUGUUUUUCCACUCACAUGUUUUCUGUUUUGCGCCCCCCAAACAGUAGUCGCUCAAGGGAGAGUUGCAAGCCAUGUUCGAGGCCCCGAACUGUGAACAUCAGUAGAUUAGGUUUCGAGUAAUUUCUUUCUACUCAACUGGAUGUUCUUGUAAACUAAAUUCGUUAGAUGCUCUAUUAUUGCCCCUGUUAGGUUUUACUUGUGAGGCCAGAGGCCAUUUAGUUUAUACUGUUGAAUAAUAAAUGCAUGCUGCUGGUUGGGAUUAUAUUGUGCUUAUGCAGGUUGAAAUUUUUGGGAUUGUUCAAUUUACAUGGGAGACUCUAGCAAAAUUUUAGUAGAGAGUCUCGGUUUUUAAUAAGUGGGCCAGGCAUCGGGGUAAUGUCGGAAAUAAGACUGGAUUCGUCCCGGUUUCCGAAGAAUUCGAGGCGGGUCCUGUCAAGUUCCUCCUAUUAACAAUAAUAAAUUAAAUAUUUAUAUAACUGAUAACAGUUCCUCAUAUUAACAAUAAUAAAUUAGUAUUUUGUAUAAUAAACAUGUUUAAUGAAAUUCAUCUUCUUCUAGCAUGUUUAUUUAAAUUCUAAGUUUUCUGAAGAAAAAAAAAAAAAAAAAGGAGAAGGAAAUGUCCUAAAUUAAAUCUUAAAAGUUCAUUUUUUUCUGUCCCUAUAUAUUUUUUACCCAAUUAUAAUUUGAGAAAAAAAGGUGAAUUAACUGUCAUUUCACCUUCAUCAUUUUCAUGAUUUAUAUAAGAUUCUUCAAAGAUCAUUUCCACAAAAAAUUACUUAAAUUCGAAUCCAUUUAACCGUCUAAUUAAAUCGUUAGGACCGUUGAAAUAAAAUUUAAAGUGAGUUUAAAGUGAGUCCUACUAUGUCUCCCUCAAAUAAGAUCAUUUACAGGAUCUGUCGAGUCAUAUGAGAAUGUUUAGCUUUUCGAUCCCAAGAGUUUGGUUCGAUUUUCAUAUAUAUAUAUAUAUAUAUAUAUAUAUAUACAAGUCAAUUUACUUUAAAAAGUUCACCAAAUUUUAUUUUUGGUCUCGGUAGUUUGCUUGAGGGCCUUUUUCUGUCAAUCUAUUUGUUGUGAUUGAAAGAUUUUAUAUAAAACAAAAGAUAUGUUUUUAUCUUAAAAAAUGCUUAUUUUCAGAUCUUUACAUAUAGACAUACAUAUGGCCUGAGAAUUCAAGCAAUAAAGACAUAAGCUGAUGAGCAUUCAUAAUCAUUAGAAUGAGUACUGAAUGGUCAACUCUUUCAAAAUACUUCGGAAAAAAACAAAGGACAAUACUUCCUUCCUUACUCAUAAGAAGGAACUCCUUCUCACCUUCUAUUGUCCCUCAACCACAAAGUAACAAGUGUUCUCUUUUUUUAAUUGUCAAUUUUUUUUUUUUCACUUUUACUGAACCCCUAGCUUUUUACCAAAGCAAAAAACACAAAACAAUAUUCCCAUUGUUUUUUUUUUUCAUUUUGAUUUUUUUCUCAACUUUUUGAAAAAUAACAUUUUUCCUUCUUCAGUAAAAAAUUGAAGUCUUUGUGGUUAAAAGCUAAGGUUUCAGUAAAGGUUUAAAAUAAAUAAAAAGUUUUGACAAUUCAAAAAACAGAACACAUAUCACUUUGUGGUUGAGCCGCAAUAGAAAGUAAGAAAGAAUUCCACCUUACCCAUAAGGAGGGAAGUAUUGUCAAAAAGAAAACAUCUUAAAAAACACACAGAAAACCCACCAUCACUACUUAAAAGAAGUAGAGAAGUCCAACAUUCUGAUUUUUAUACACCUACGUGACGUGAGCAUUCAAUAAUCAUCCUACACAUAUGUUGAUGUGAGCAUUCAAAAUCAUUAGAAUGAUUUAAUUGAAGACUCAACGUACGGACGUCUUUUUCACUUAGAUUCCCUUCCUGUACAAACUUGAAUCAGUUCCUCCACGACCCCAUCAAUCUCUUCAUCCUCUUUCUUGUUCACGUUGUCGCUUAUUUUCAAUGCCUUUUUUCUCACUCCCUCUCCAAAUUUCUCCACAACCACAUCUCUAAUCACCUUUGCGACCUCUUCUCUUUGCAAACUUCCUUCACCUGUUCUCUUAACCUCCACACCAACACCCACCUCCUCCACUAGUCUAGCGUUGAUCGGCUGGUCAAGAUGCAUAGGCAUGGCUAUAAUUGGAACACCAAACUUGAUGCUCUCCAACACUGAGUUCCAUCCGCAGUGACUCACAAACCCCCCAACACUAGAAUGCUGCAGUAUCUUUGCCUGUGGGGCCCAACCCUCCAUUAUCACUCCCUUCUCUCCCACCCUCUGUAAAAACCCUUCUGGUAACACCUCUUCAACCCUAGUACUUCUCUCCUCCUUAGAAAAUCUUAUAACCCAAAUGAAGCUCACUUUGCUAAGCUCUAAUCCGUGAGCUAUCUCUUCUAUUUGCUCCUUGGACAGAAAGUACUCACUGCCAAAGCAAACAUACACAACAGAAGACCUUUCCAUUUUGUUCAGCCAUUUCAUGAUCCAUGUUUCCUCAUCAACUUUUUGAUCCAUUGGCUCUUGAACAAGCGUGCCAACAGGCACGAUCUUCUUCCCCGUUAAAUCAGAGAGAUAAUCAAUAUAUUUUUCUUCAAUCUCGCUGGAUGUCUUGACCAAAAUGAUGUUACAAGAUCGAGCACUGCAUUGCUGAACACGGUCUCCGUCUUUGAUGCCAUUUGCUGAAGAUUCCAACAAAUUGUUGAACUUUUCAGCUUCGUAAUGUUGAAGAUAAAUCGAAGGAAAAGGAAACUUGACACUAGGGUUCUUGAGAUGUUGAAUACUAAAUGAAGUAAAGGCAGCACCCAUGGUGGUGAAUUCAAUGGAUGGAAAAUUUUGCAAUGAAGCUAGAGAGGGCGCCCAUGGUUGAAGAACAUCAUAUAUGAGCAAAUCUGGACUUAGGGUUUUGAGGAUGUUGGAGAAGUUGUUGCUGGACAUGCUGAAAGCCGUUUUGAGAGUGGACAUGAGAUGGGGAGGGAGGCCAUUGGUGGUGUGGUAGUGCGGUGGGAGUUCAGGCAAGUCAUCAUGUGGAAGAUGGAGUUCCACAAAUUCAAUGCAAUGAGAAUAUUUUUGGGAGAGUUUAGGCUUGAUGGAGCUGAGAUUUACAGGCGUGGAACAAAUAAAGAUGUGAAAAUUUCUCUUGGUGGUCAGCUUCUUGGCUAGCUCUAGGUAGGGAGAUAUAUGGCCGUGAGCUAGCCAUGGAAGCAAAAGAAUAGUAAGGCUUCUUUGGUCAGAGAAAACCAUAUUUUGUUUUCCUUUGACUUGUUUUCCUUUGACUCUUUUGCUUGAGGUUGCUCGAUUAUAGGCUUAUUGGUAGUUUGUUUGUGGCUAGCUCUAUGCAUAUAUAUAUAUAUAUAUAUAUAUAUAUAUAUAUAUAUAUACACACACAAAAACGCGUGAUGAUUGGAACAUGCACACGUAAGUUCCAGAGAGUGAUGAUUGGCCUAUGAUAAAGACUCGAAACAAGAAUAGUUUAAAUUUUCUUCUUUGUUUGGCUUGAUAUAAGACGAAUGCACCAAACAAACCGACUAAAUGCCGACACAAUAAUUAGGUACGUAAUAAUAUCAACUUUCAUUAUAUAGAUCUGAGAAACAAAAAGUUGAACUUUGAUGACAAGCGAUAUUAAGGAAGGGCACAAUCGAACUUAGGAUCUCGAAUGUUGAAGUACAUGCUCUUAACAACUUGAGCUAUAAGGUAUUUGUAAUGACAAUUUAUGGUUUUAAUUAUACUUUUGAAUAGUUGCUUCCUUCUCUUUCAUUUUUAUUUUUAUUUGUUUAUAUUUAACUCUAAUUUUAUUUAUAUUUCUGGUCAAGGUAUAAAGACUUUGAAUCUCUCUCCAAUUAUUUUUCACAGCCGAAACUCCUUUAGUUUCCACAAAUCUUUUUAAACAUUUCAGGCAUAUGUAUGUUUCCGAGUCGGAUGGUUCACGUAACCAAGAAAUUUAAACUUGUUUUUGUUUGUUCCUCCGAAGAAAGCACAACAAAAGGACAACCUACAACCAAUACUUCUCAUUGAAUUUGUUGCCGUGAAUGAUUAGGACUCUGCCCAAACUAGUAGUUGCGUUUCUGAAUUGUUUGAAAACACAUAUCAAAUUAUGAUUUCUCCUCCCCGAAAGAAAAAUUGACGUAGAAGUAUCAUGAUCUUGAUGACACAAAUUAGAAUCUAGGGUUUUCGAAGUGCCUAAUGGACAACUACUUAUUUAGAAAUAUAUAUAUUUUUGUGGCUAAAAUUUAAAUUUAUUAUAUAUAUUCUCAAUGCAGAAACACAUAAAUCUAAGUUCGAAUUCAUCCUUUUUUUGUUUUUUUUUUUUUGUUUUUUUAACCCAGAAGAAAAAUUGAGUCCCACUCUGCUGUGUAGAAUGCGCGUUUAGUAUAGAUUUUUUUAUUUUUGAGUCUCUUAUCUGGUUCCCGAGCUUCUACAUUUAGGUCUCGUGUAUUUAUCUGCAUUUUCUUAAAUCUAAAUCACUCAAACAAUCUAACCACUUAACAAAUGACACGUACUCAAACUUAAAAUCAGAAUGGAUGGAGUAGAGGCUUACACCGAUGAUUCUUGGUCAAGACUUGAGAGACAGAUGGAGACGAGGCAUGACAUAAAGUCUGAAGAAGAGAAACGAGGAAGCUUCAUUUAGAUGGUGGUGUAAGUGCAUACGUAAAGUCCAGAUUCAACAGGAAAGCAUCUUAAACGUAAAGAAAAUAAGUUUACCAGAAGCAAAAGAGAUACUGAAGUAAUUGUUUAUCAACUGAACUUAAACGAAAUAUUAACUCUUUGUUGUGCCAUAAGCACAAGAUCUUAUGAAAAAAAAUUCAAGAUAAACCAUAUAAUAUUGGGAGAUUCACGUUUAUACCGAAUAUAGGAAUUCAAAUUAUAAAAUAAAUAAAUAAAUAAAAUAAUCGAUAUGAAAUGGACUUUAGAAACACACACAAAGCCUAUUUACAACAUAACAAAAAGGUUUUUCCCUUCUUUUAAAUUACAAAACUGCCAUUGAUUUCUUAAAACAAACCCAACUCCAAAACCUCAUUAAAAAAGCACAAAACACUCAAUAGGGUGUCAAAGUAAUUUAAUAAUAAAAAAUAAAUUCAAUAAGGCCAAUUGAAUUUUUUGGAUUUUUUUUUGGGUUUGUUUAUAGAAAUUAAUGGUGUAGGGUUUAUCUAUAUUAUUGGUGUUAAGAAUGAAUAAUGACUAAAUAUCUCUAUAAUAUUUUCUAACUCACAAAAUAAUAUAGAAAAUAAAUGCAAGAACAAGAAAAUAGCAAUAUGCAAUUUAACGAAGCUGCUUACAAUCAGUGCAAAUGAGCAAACAAAUUCGCUAUUAAUUUAUGAAGUGUUUUUGUAUUUACAAUACCGCCUCUUGAAUGUCCACCAUACAAUAAUAUAGUUGCAUCAUUAAAAACUUUACUUGAAAAAUCGUUUGGGACAAAACUUAAGCUAAGAGAAAAAGAGUGCAACACAAAUGAUAUUGACAUCACAUAUGUCUCUCCUACAGAGUGAGCUUUGGUGAUGCUUGUAUAAAAAUUGCUUUCACAUCAUUAUUGGGAGAUGUAUGUAUGUCAUCAAUCAUUUGAAUCUUGUUGAGGUUAAAGUAAAACCAAAAAAAUAUCAAGGGCCAUUUUCAUAUAGUUUUUCACAAUAAAAAUUAACAAAAUAACUUCAUGUUCUUUAAUAUCAUCAAAAAAAUAAUAUAAACAAACUCAUAGUUUACCUUUUCAAUGAUAAGUGUUUGGAAAAUUUACAUGGAAUAAUAUUUGGUAUGCUAUGCUAGCAUCUCAUAAGCUCUUCAAGAGACCUAAAUUUUAUGAUAACUUCUUAAAAAAAUUUGAAUACUUUUCAACAAUAUUAAACUUGAAUUCAAACUCAUAAUUCAAUCAAAGUACUCAUUGAGGCAAUUUAGAUCAUUUUCAUUUUAAGAAAAUUGGGUGCAUACAUUGAGCUUCAUGCCCUUUACCUUCUUAGAGAUUUUCUUCGAGCAAUUUAUAUUGCAUGACAGAUUAUAUCUCUUAGAAUUUGUUCUUAUGUAUUCUUCAAGAGAUCUCUUCUUGCAAUAUGCUUCAAACACUUCAUAAUCUUUAUAGAUUUUUCAUGUAGAUUUAAGGUCUCCAUGAAUAUUGAGAUUGAAACAAGGAGUAAAAUAAAAGUUUAAGAAAAAUUUUCCCUGAUUAUUUUGUAAUUAUAAUGUUGGUGAAAACCUAAUUUCCUUUCUGAAAUUUGUGAAAUUUGUUAUUUGGCUAAGCUAAAAGUAUAAUAUUGACAAUAAAACGUAUACGAAAGUUUCUCUUUGGCUGGCUUCUUGGCUGGCUCUAGGAAGGGACAUUGCGGCCAUGAGAUAACCAUAGGAAGCAUAAUAAGAAUGCUUGGAUGCUCUGAACAAUCCAUUUUCUGACUCUUUUUCUUGAGGCGGUUGUUUUCUUAGGCCCAUCAGAGUUUAUGGUCGACAGAUAAGCUUCAAACACAUGCAUUGGUCGUGUCAGUUGCGAUAAACUCUUCCCAACAAUCUGAGACUCACAUCACUCCAAACACAUAAAAAGAAGUGGAAAUUUGCUAUUCUUUGUCUUUGUUUGGACAGCUAAUAGCAAAGCAUUGGAAACAUCGAAAAAAGAAAGUUAAUUAAUUUAAGAAAAACAAAGAAAUCCUUCUUUUUUUUUCUUUUUUUUUUCAGCAAACCGAAACAUAAAAUCCGAAAAAGAAGAAGGCAUGUCCAAAAUUACAUCUUGAAUUUAUUUUGGAGAUUCACUAUUAUACUCAAAUUAUAUAUGAAAUAAAUUUUAGAAACACACAUGACGCCAAUUUACAAUAUAACAAAAAAACUUUUAACUUCUUGUAAAUUACAAAAUUGUUAUCGAUUUCUUAAAACAAGCCUAAUCCUAAAACCUCAUAAAAAAAAAAUCAAAACACUCAAUAAGGCAUCAAAGUAAUUUAAUAAUUAAAAUUAAAUUUAAUAGGGUCAUCUGUCAUUUUUUGGAUUUUUUUCGAAGUUGUUUAUAAAAAUUAAAAUAAUGUAUAGUUUGUUUAUAAAAAUUAAAUGAUGUAGAGUUUCUUUAUAUAAUUAAUGUUAAUAAUGAGUAUAUGAAUAAAUGUCACUUUUCUUUAUUAACCAUUUAUAAUAUAUGAACUCAAGACUUCCUAUCGAACACCGAAUGGUCUUUCCAUUCCUUGUUAAUUCAAAGUCUGAAAAUGUUCGGUGUCAGCUCAUGAAUUUAAAGGCUUAAAGGCUCAAAACUUGAACGAAUAUGAAAGAAAAAAGUCGUUCACCGUUCAUCCUCUUCCUGCAGCUGUGCAUGCUAAUCACCCACUGAAUUAAACAUACAAAUACGCUUUAUGUUUUCUCAAAUUGUUCUUUGAACUAAGUAGAGGUUGGAAUACACUCGGGGUCAACAUUGUUCAAAUACAAAACACUUCUUAAUUUUAUAUUUUAUCAAAACAGAUCGAAACUUCAUUCAAACUGAGAACCUAGAUUACAAAACUACCAGAAAAACUGGAAUCUGCACUGUGGCCUCAUUAAAACCUUGCUUUAAAAAACUCCUAAAAGAGGAGAAUUCAGUCAAGAAAAAAGAGUACCACAGCAAGUGAAAUCCGAUAUCAUACUUCAUUCCUUUCUCAUACAAAGUUGAAUCAACUGCUCUACCACCCCAUCUAUCUCUUCAUCCUCUCUCUUUUUCAUGUUGUCUCUCAAUUCCAUUGCCUUUCUUUUCAAACCCUGUCCAUUUUCUUCCACCACCACAUCUCUGAUUACUUUUGCUAUCUCGUCCCUUUUCAGCCUCCCGUUCUCGUUGCCGCCUCCUCCCAUUCUCUUAACCUCCACACCAACUCCAACGUCCUCUACUAUUCUAGCGUUAAUAGGCUGGUCAAGAUGCAUAGGCAUGGCUACAAUUGGAACGCCAAACUUGAUGCUCUCCAACACUGAGCUCCAUCCACAGUGGCUCACAAACCCACCAGCACUAGAAUGCUUCAAUACUUUUGCCUGUGGAGCCCAACCAUCCACUAUUAUUCCCUUCUCCCCCACCCUCUCAAAAAACCCUUCUGGUAAUACCUCUUCAACCCUAGUACCUUUCUCUUCCUUAGGAAAUCUUAUAACCCAAAUAAAACUCACUUUGCUAAUCUCUAGCCCAUGAGCUAUCUCUUCUAUUUCCUCCUUGGAUAAAAAGUACUCACUGCCGAAGGAAACAUACACCACCGAAGAUCUUUCUCUAGUGUUUAGCCACUUCAUGAUUUUUGUUUCCUCCGAAUCCACUUCUUGCUCUAUAAGGUCUUGAACAAGUGAACCAACAGGCACAAUCUUCUUCCCAAUUAGAUCAGAGAGAUAAUCAAUAUAUUUUGCUUCAAUCUCUCUAGAACUCUUAACUAAUACGAUCUUACAAGAACGAUCGCUGCACUGCUUAGCACGGUCUCCAUCACUGAUGCCAUUUGAUGAAGAUUCUAACAACAUCUUGAUCUUACUAGUCUCGUAAUAGAUUGAAGGAAACGGAAAUUUGACACCAGGUUUCUCGCCAUGGUGGGUACAAACUGACAUCAUGGCAGCACUGGUUGUGAAGAACUCGAUGGCUGGAAUGUUUUGUAACAAAGCUAGAGAGGGUGCCCAUGGUUGAAGAAAAUCAUAAAUUAGCAAAUCCGGGUGUAGGGUUUUGAGGAUGUUGGAGAAGUUAGGGCUUGCCCUGUCGAAGGCGGUUUUGAGAGUGGACAUGAGGUGGGGUGGGAGGCCAUUGGUAGUGUGGUAAUGAGGUGGGAGUUCAGGCAAGUCGUCAUAUGGAAGAUGUAGUUGCACGAGUUCAAUGCAACGAGAGUAUUUUUCAGAGAGUUGUGGCUUGAUGGAUCUGAGAUUUACAGGUGUGGAACAAAAAUAGAUGUGAAAAUUUCUGUUGGUCAGCUUCUUUGCUAGCUCUAGGUAGGGAGAUAUGUGUCCAUGAGCUAACCAUGGAAACAUAAGAACACUGAAUUUUCUUUGCUGAGAAGAAUCCAUUUUUUCAGACUCUCUCCAUUCAGGUCGUUUGUUUUAUAGAUCUAAUAAGUGAGAUGAAAAGAUGACAAAAUAUAUACAGAUGAGUCAUGUGAAUCUAGGUUUUUUCUUCGUAGUCAGAAGAGUCGUGCGUAAGUGCAUGCGUGUAUACAAGACAAAAGACAUACGUUAGACUUCUUUAUCUUCGUUCGUGCUGAUAUAUAUUAAGAAACAGACCCUUGCAACUCUAAUAUCCUAGACAAAAAUUCAAUUUUAAAAACUGAUGCUAUGUCCUGUGUUUUCCUAAACAAUCCCUAUUUUCUGUAGUCUUUCAAUUAUUCUAAAUUUGCUCAACAUUCAAUAUAACAUCAAUUUCUUAUAAAUCCCUGAACUUUCUCUAGCAUUCAAAAUUUUAAAACAUUCUCAAAGUAAUUCGGCUUCAAAGGAAUGGUAAACUUAGUAAUGGCUUCUUUUCCCCUUUCACGAUGCAGUGGCUGAGAGUUCUGAGAACGGAAGUUGUAGUUGGGUGACUUUGAUUCUUUUUAGCUGAUGCCUACUGCUUGAAUGAAAUGGAGCAAAGAGGUCAUCAGUACUUACACUGCUACUAGGAGGGUAAGCUUGAUUAUGUGUAUACUAUAACUUUAGAGUUUUGGUAUUUGGAAUGAUGAUAAUUUCAAUGUUACAUUUAUUUUGUUUACUACACUAUGUUUCUUUGUUGAACUCAAAUGUCAUGCUGAUAAAAAGAAAUAUAUUGUUGUAUGAAAUUGAAUCAAUAAGGAAAUUGACUGAGAUUUAAAAAUAAAAUUACACAGACACAGCAUGCAAUAUUAAUGCAAUAUUAAAUCUGUGUUAAAUAAUGUAGGACAGAUAGAUUAGCUGAUCGAGGAGCAGCUGGAUAAGCCCGUGCAUGUCGUUGUGCCAGAAAAGCCCAAUUCGUGCAAGUAUGGGCCCUGAACUCUUAAUUAGGCUAUGAUCUGUCAUUUUGAAGAGAACGGCGUGACAAGUGCAACUCACUGCUGUAUUGUGACAUACGGACUAUUUUAGUCAAAUUCUAUCAUUUACAUUGCAUUUUCAGCAUUUAAAGUUUUUUAAAAAAUUUGGAAACUUUUGUUAUUUUCCUUUUUUGUUUUCUAAUUAGCUUUCUUAGCAAGUCUAGGGGUUCUCUUGUAUAAAAGGAAUGCAUUGGAGCAUCCUAAACUAUUCAGUUUAUUAUCAAUCAAAUACUUUUGAGUUAUACUAAAUUUCGGAUGGAUCCGGCAUGUUACUUGCAGGGUUAUCAUUCGAUCUCCUUAUUCCCUAUAUCUCGCUACGUCAGCUGUCAUGGCCAACUGGGGAAGUCGUGUAAUGGAUAUCACUUAUGGUGUGCACCAUGUGUAGUAAAUAGUUGUCCAAAACCUUUCCCGCAGCUCUAGUGCAAGGGUGUAUUGUGUGCACGUUUGAGGCGUGCAUAUAGGUUCCGUAAAUUUCAUGAGCUUUUUAUGGCUAGUUCUUUCGGGAAGUGCAUAGGGAGUGAUCAACUUCUUGGUCACUAACCUGUUUGAUAUUCUUAGUAAUGGGGUGUUAGUUGGAUUGACUUAGACUUUUAGUUUGCUCUCAAGUGGUCCCGAGUUGAAGCCCCCACGGUAUCCGUGUGUGUGAAUUUUCCCCUUCCCUUUCCUAAUUUAACAACAACAACAAAAAAUACUUAUUUGAUAUCCUGGUUUAUUUAUUUAUUCUUUUUUAAAAAAAAAUUUAAAACUUUUUUUAUUAAAAGGGGUAAUAUCAUACUAAACUCACACACACUACAUAGAUGAUAGGACUUGAAUUCACCAUAAUCGUUUUUUAGGAGCAAUUACUUAUGGUAAACAAUUACUUCAAACCACUACACUAGUAGUCAUUAGCGGCGUUUUAUAUUCUUGCACAAGCUAUGUGGUCACUAAUAUUUUGUGUAUUAAGGGCUUGUGGUGUUUCAAUGUUGAUAAAAAUGCCAAAUCAGAAUUCAAUACAAGAGUACAACCACCUAAAGGAUAGCAAUGAACAGAUACUAUUUUAUCCACACAAAAAAAAGUUUAUCUGAUAUGAGCAUUAUUCAAAAUCAUUAGAAAAUGAGUACUGAAUGCUAAAAAGACGCUAAAACGUAGAGUCAAAGCCAACAUUCACAUGAUCGGCCAUCAGAUACGCUUAGCAUUCAAAAUCAUUAAAAUUAUUAUUGAAGUCUCAACUCCUUUUCACUUAAAAGUAGAUAUUUGUUUCCCUUCUCCUACAAAUUGCAUCAAUUCCUCCACGACCCCAUCUAUCUCUCCAUCUUUGUUUUUCAUGUUGUCUCUUAAUUCCAAUGCCUUUUUUCUCAUGCCCUCUCCAAUUUUCUCCACAACCACCUUUCUGAUCACCUUCGCCAUCUCUUCUCUUUGCAAAAUUCCUUCUCCUGUUCUUUUAACCUCCACACCAACACCCACCUCCUCUACUAAUCUAGCGUUAAUUGGCUGGUCAAGAUGCAUAGGCAUGGCUAUAAUUGGAACACCAAACUUGAUGCUCUCCAACACUGAGCUCCAUCCACAGUGACUCACAAACCCACCAACCCUUGAAUGCUUCAAUAUGUUUGCCUGCGGAGCCCAACCCUCCACUAUAAUUCCCUUCUCCCCCACCCUCUCUAAAAACCCUUCUGGUAACACCUCUUCAACUCUUUUACCUUUCUCUUCCUUUGGAAAUCUUAUAACCCAAAUAAAGCUCACUUUGCUAAGCUCUAACCCAUGAGCUACCUCUUCGAUUUGCUCCCUGGACAAAAAGUACUCACUCCCAAAGCAAACAUAAACAACCGAAGACCUUUCCCUUUUGUUCAUCCAUUUCAUGAUCCAUGUUUCCUCAUCAACUUUUAGAUCCAUUGGCUCUUGAACAAGCGGACCAACUGGCACGAUCUUCUUCCCCAUUAAACCAGAGAGAUAAUCAACAUAUUUUGCUUCAAUCUCUCUAGAUGUCUUCACCAAAAUGAUGUUGCAUGAUCGAGCACUGCAUUGCUGAACGCGGUCUCCGUCGUUGAUGUCAUUUGACGAAGGUUCUAACAGAUUGUUGAACUUUUUAGCUUCGUAAUCUCGAAGAUAGAUCGAAGGAAAAGGAAACUUGACACGAGGGUUCUUGAGAUGGUGAACACGAAGUGAGCUCAAGGCAGCACUGGUGGUGAUGAACCGGACCGAUGGAAUAUUUUGCAACGAAGCUUGAGAGGGUGCCCAUGGUGGAAUAAAAUCAUAAAUGAGCAAAUCUGGCUUUAGGGUUGUGAGGAUGUUGGAGAAGUUAUUGCUGGACAUGUCGAAGGCCCUUUUGAGAGUGGACAUGAGAUGAGGAGGGAGGCCAUUGGUGGUGUGGUAAUGAGGUGGCAAUUCAGGCAACUCUUCAUGUGGAAGAUGAAGUUCCACAAAUUCAAUGCAAUGAGAGUAUUUUGGAGAGAGUUUUGGCUUAAUGGAGGUGAGAUUGACAGGCGUGGAACAAAUAAAGAUGUGAAAAUUUCUCUUAGAGGUAAGCUUCUUGGCAAGCUCUAGGAAGGGAGAAAUGUGGCCGUGAGCUAGCCAUGGAAGCAUAAGAACAGUAAUGC
rnacentral:lncRNA from 1 species